CUUGCUCUCCAGAAUUUGCAGAACUUCAGCCUUGAAUUGCAUGACAGUUCAUGGGUCCCUUGCUCAGUCACGUGCACAACCAGGGUGACACACAAGCCCAGUGUAGAAUGAGAGACUUCUGCUUUAAGGCUUUUAUGGGCCAAUGCAACCAAACAGAACACCUGGAUUGUGAGGCUGGUGUACCCCUCCACUACUCAUUUGCUACAAUAUGAAAGACAAGCAUUUGGAAAUCAUGGCCACACUCCAUUCCCCAAGCUCACAACUCUGAUUACGAGCUUCAUUAUUCCACCAUUAAUUGUGAAUGAGAAAACUCAGCGAGCUCUGCAUCUAACAGCAGCCUUCCUAAGCAGCUCCAGAAAUUGCUGAGACAGCCCUGAUAAGGUAGAUGGUAGAAGCUGAUGAGGAUUGCACAGCAUAUGUCUGUCACUGACAGCCUGAGGGAUCUGGAAAGUCUGGACAUCAGUUAAAAGAAAAGUGUGUGCUAAUGAAGAAAAGGAAGGAGGAGGCUCUGCAGGGAAUGGAAUGUUCAUGGUCAAGCCUAGCAAGAGCCAGAGCACAGUACCAAAGAAGAAAAGCAUCAUCUCCCAGAAAGGUUAGUAGCAGAGGCUAAAGGACAAGAUCAGUGUGAACUUCCAGGAGACACAUGAACAAGCAGAGCUUUCUAAGUGGGAUGGGUCCUUGUAGUUUGGGUUUUCAGUGUAGACACUAAAAACAGAGUCAGGUGGAUCUAACAUUGUGAGGAGCUCACCUAUACAUUGAUGCUGUUUCCUGCUCCUGAUUCUAUUACACUAGAGGGCAAUAAAAUCAAGUAGCUAUUCUGAUAAACAAAAUUACCUUUAUGAAAUUCAACCAUCCCUUAGCCAUGGCACUGAGCGUCAGCCCUUGAGUUCUUAAGAUAUUGAAACAGAGUAAGACAACAGAGUAGAGAGACAAGAAGGGCAAGCAGGCCCUACAGGUUCACUGAGGGGCCAGGGUGGUGGUACAGAGUGAAUGGGUACAUAAAUAAAUCUAUGUUGUUCCCUGUGAUGGCCCUAAAUCUUGUUCAUUCAAACAUUCUUUAAAAAAAAAAUUACCAUUGCAGCUGACAAACAGCAAUGACUUGCAUGUCCAUAGCUUGAAGAGUUUAAACUUUAUGCAGGCAUGCUGGCAUUUUGGGUAAGCUACUUAUCUUAUGGUCUCUUCAAAGUUGGAAAGAAACACUAUCCUCUGGGAAGUUUAUGAAGCAGCCUAAACAUUUCAAGUAGAUGCGGUUCUCUAAAUUGUUCUCCACUGUGUGGUUAUCAGAAGUUAUUGUUUCUCAAGAAUCAGAAAUUCAAACUGAAUGCAGGGUGGUCAGCUAACAGCUAGCAGCCAAGCCUCCCAGUUGUGACUGUCAGUGGGUCUUUUUUGCAGCUGGAAUUUCUUAGCCUGUAUGUCUGGGAGGCUCUACCUGUCCCUGAAGCCAUCCAGAACACAGCUUCAUUUCUCUCAUGAAACAUCUGGAAUAAGCCCGUAUGGUUACAUUAACAAGAUGACUAUCUACACAAGAGACAAGGACUGUGCUUGGAAUGGUAAGUCUCUGAGGAACAGGAUACAUCUGUCAAGGAUCAGACGGAGGCAGACGACUUGAGGAGCCUGGCAGCAAACAGAGCUAGAGAAAAACUUGUGAAGGUGGGAGGGGUGAAUAAAUGGACUCUCUCAUGUCCUUUGGUGACAAGGGCUAAACCUGUUUGUCAAACCUGCUGCCUGGGGAAGAUCUAUAAAUGUGCUUUGAAAAAAAAAAAAAGCAGAGGGAGUGGCGUGGUUGCUAUGGUUACCCCUAGAGCAUUCCAGGCCUGAGGAGGGAAGAGUAAGUUCUUGAUAGAGGAGCCAGCUUGGGCGAAGGCUAGGAGAAAGGACAGAUAGGAAGAGUCAGCCAGACUACAGCAUCCUUGUUCCUAUUCCCUUGAGAUGAAAUAGACAAUUCAAAACUGAAAAGGAGCCACUAGAAGAGGUACAGAGCACCUGGGGCAGAGUUGCUGUCCCACAUUCUGGUGACACCACGGUAGCAAAGAGGCUGCGAAGUGUAGACAUGUCAGAUUUGUUCUCAGUCCAUGGCAUCAAGCAGUUCUGGAAAGGGGAAGGGGCAGGCUCUAAUCCACUAAACCCCGGAUAGCCUGAGGGGACACUAGUGAGUGCCUCUGAGGCAGGAGGAAUGAGGUGCAUAGGGCACUCAGAGGCAAACUAAAGAGACUAAAGAGACAAACUCUAGGGGGAGCACUGCCCUGGAUUCCAGUAUUGUGCCUGCUUUCCAGCCUAGGCUUCCUGCAUAGGAGCAGGUCUUACCCCACUCCUCCUUUGCUUUGCAGUCCUGGGUUACUACUGCUUCCUUAGUCCAAGUCUGAUGACCCUAGUGUGGUGGAGCCACCUGUGGAGGGAGACUGCCAACAAGUGAGGCUGAGUCAAGGUAGGCUAGAUUUGCAUUGGAAAGCCGGAGGGGUCAAGGGGCAGUGAUAAAUGCUACAGGCAUAGUCUGAUGCCAUUCUCCCCACCUUCUGAUGGAAUCCUAACCUUCAGCACUUCCAUGUGGGAUUUAUGGAAACAGAAGUUAGCAGAGCUAAUUAAGUUUACAAUGAGACUACUGGGGUGGACCUUAAUCUAAUAUGGCUAGUGUCGUUCUAAGAAGAAAAUUUCGGCACAGACACCAGGAAGGGAAUCAACUGGAGAAAUAGGGCAAAGAUGACUACUUGUAUAGGGUGCAGUGCAAAUCAAUUCUACUGGGCAAAGAUGGCUACUUGUAUAGGGUGCAGUGCAAAUCAAUUCUACUAACACCUUCACCUUGCACAUUUAGCCUCUGAAAAGCUAAGACAAUAAUCCUUGUUAUUUAAGCCAUACAGGCUGGGGCAAUUUGUUAGAACACCGGCAGAGUGAAUAUACUAUGUGUGGAUCUGCUCUUCCCCAAGGUGAAGAGAAAACCAAUAGAAGAAGACAGAUGCUUUUCAGGGCUUACUGUGUGCUAACUAUUUCACAUUCAUGGUUUUACUAACAGUGAAGUUAUCCUUUAUAAGAGAAGGACCGUAAGACUUUAGCCCCACCUCUGGAGGCAAUGGGCAGAUCUGCCAUCCAGCCCUUGUCUGCACAGGGUGAUAAGCCAGAGCUUCCCCUGGGCUGGGUGUCUGCCCCCAGAACAGAGGGAGGGUGAAGAGCUCAGGAAAAAAAGGACAGCAGAGGAAUGGGGUGGCCAGUGUGCUUCAGGAUGCUGACAGAAAGGGGGCUGGCCACGGGCUCAGGAAAAGAGCAGACCAUUACAUCUGCAGCAAUCAUUUUUGGCAGGAAAAUUUCCACUUUCUCAGAAGCCCCUCAUUUUACAGGAAAGGUCCAUGUUUGUCUUGCCCAUCUUGGCCUCCUUUUUCAGCCUGUUUCCCUAAAAGCACUGUCAGUCUUGAGACUUAGAGCGAUGUGCUUUGAAGAGGAACCGAGAGGAGAUUCAGUAACAGCAAAAUGUCUGUUUGCUUUUUUUUUUAAUCGUAAAUUCAUCCUCCAGGAAUAUAACCAUGAUGCAAAAUAUUUUUAAAUGCCUAAUUAUCCAUCCAAAUUCACACUCCAUCAUUAAUAGGUACCAUCUUUGCUCAUCUUCCUGAACUUGUUAAUCUCUGAUCAGGAUGCUGAUGUAAUUAAUUUUUAAAUCUUCUCUCUCUCUCCCUCUCCCUUCUCUCUCUCUCUCUCUCUCUCUCUCUCUCUCUCUCUCUCUCUCUCUCUCUCUCUCUCUCUCUCUCUCUCUCUCUCUCUCUCUCUCUCUCUCUCUGUGGUGCUGGAAUCAAACCCAGGGCAUCCUGCAUCGUAAAUCAUUAAUGUAUCACUGAGCUACAUUUCCGGCUCCUAAUUGUAUUUGGUGUUAAAAAUGAUCUAGCAUUUUGUUAGAAUCCCAGGGAUGCCUAAACUAGAUCAUGACUUUGCUCUCCUAGAGAAAUUUAAGAAUUAAGAAUUUUAGGAAAGUUUAGGUCUGGAAUGUGACUGAGUUUUUUUUUUUUUUUUUUUUUUUUUUUUUUAGUAGUUCCCUAGCAUCCCUAGCAGUCACGACUUUUAUUAAGUCCAGUUGAAACUAAUAAUGUCCCACUGUUUUGCAACAAUGAGGCAUCUCUCACAACAUGAAAUGCACAAGACUAAAGUUCAAGACAGAGGCUCUCUCUGUUCAGGAACAUGUGCUUGGGUGAUGUGGUCUGAGGUUGCAACCUGAAGAUUUCUAAUGAUCAACACUAAACAUACAUGCAAUGCGUCUUUGUGUGAAGUUGGAAAUAAGAACAAUUUACGACUUUUUUUAGGUUACCUAGUAGCUUCCAUACACAAGCUGUUCUUCAUACAGCCCUAGCUCAGCCACUCUGAUGACAGGAAAAUUUCUGGGGAAUAUUUCAUGAAGAUUUUUAAAAUGUUUACGACAAUGCAAAUAUUGAUGUCUCAGCCCAGUCAAUAUUACAAUUUAUUGUCCUUCAAUAUAAACAGUGAGCCAGACUCCCUAUUGGUCACUAUUUGAACUCAGGUAAAUAAAUCUUUAUACUGACUUCAGCAGAUGUCAAUAUCUACUUAUUCCAGAUAAGUAAAAGUAAAAACAGGAAGCAUUAUUUAUUUUUUUGAAGUAAAAUAGCAACUAGUUAAAUAAAGGCCCUGCGGCAUUUCUGGAAUAUCAAUAUGAAGUUACUUUUGGCAAUAAAACAUAACAACAUUAUAAGAUGUGUGUUGAAAGCACAUUGUUUGAAAUUUUGGAAGUAGAACUUAAUAAAAAAUAAAUUUUGUCUAUGUUUUAAUAUCGCAAUACUUUUUUUAGACUUGAAAGAAUUCUCAGAUUUUAUGUUCUUCUCACCCUGUAAGAAGUUAAUUUUUGAUGUUAUCCAUAACUUCAGGAAUUCGCAAGACCAUAUUUCCUGCCAGCUUUUAGAUUAUCUGAUUAACCUUCCCUCUGAACCUAAAAGAAAAACCUGUCUGUAUUUGACCUGUGUAUGAAGUGAAGUCUUUCUGCCUGAUCAUGCUUUGGUCUGUACAUUGCAGAGCAUUGGAUGUCUAUAUUUCUAAAUAUGUGCAUGUAGACUGUAUGUCUGUCGACAAAAAAGAUUCUCCCAAAGUCAUCGCUCCGUGGCUGAGAAAAGGCACCAACCCUCUGUUAGGUCACAAUGCAGUUUCAGAAGUGAACAAAUGUUCUCUGCUAUGUCCACCCAUGUACACGUAAAAUUCACAUUAUACAGAUGCACUAUUUUUCUUGUGGGAGAUAAAUAAAUCCCUGUUUAUAUGUACAGAAUAUGUUUGCCUCAAAAUUGUCAUAUGUUGGCCUUAAGAUGAUACUACAGAAAGGAAAGUGGCCAUGGUACUUAGGAUCACAAUCUGCCUUGUACUCCUUAGGUGUGUGAUAUGAAUUAUUAAUUGGUACUUGGACAUGGUGGAUUGACAGGCUAUUUGACCAAUGGCUCAGGGUCUGGGUACCCACUGACUAUUCCCAGGGUCUCAUUUAUAGCUGUUGCCUGGAUGCGGUUACUGAACGCUGAUGAUCAGUGUUGAUGUGGCAAUUUAUGCGUCAGAUAGGCUUAAAGGAAGAUUUAUUCCUAUUAUAAAUAUGUCCACAAAGUGAUAGGGACUAAAAGAAGAAAAUGAAUAUGAGGCUUUUAAAAAAAUAUGAAAGCUGCUAAUGGCGAGAGAAUGUCAUUUGGCUCAAGUGGCUUUGUUUUCUUUUUUUAACCCUUAAGGCUGAGGUGCCCAGAAACUCUGUCCUGGGCAGUGACAGUGGCUUCGUGAAAUGGCUGUAUGAGCAGACCAUGCUGUGGCUUUGAGAGCCGGGUGGGAUCCACAUCCGCAGAUGUACACUGAAGUGGAAGUGAUCUGGAAGGUAAGGCCAUGAAAUGGCACUGAAGGCCUCCCUUGUAUGCACUGCAGGAUCUCAGGCUGAUGCCACCAGGGCUGAGCACAGCUGAUGCUCUCAGUGCAUGCCUGACGGACAGUUCUGGGCUUUAAUGAUGCUGUAUUAUGAUUUUUCCCUUGGGGAUUCUGACAUGAAAAGCUUUUAAGGUAAAUCAGCAAGCGCUCUUAAUACUGAGCCAUUUUGCUAGCACAGUUAAGGACUUUUUUUUUUUUUUUUUUUUGGUGACCAUCAGUCUGCAGAAAGUUAUGUAACAACUCUCUCUUUUAAAAAAGAGUAUUUUUUUUUGUCUGUGUGUGGCUGUAUACACAUGAGAGCAGGUGCUCAUGGAAGCCAGAGGCAUGGGUUCUCCUGGAACUGGAGUCACAGGCAAUUGUGAGUGGAUGCGCUCAUAACUGCUAAACCAGCUCUCCAGUGCCAGUAGAACAAUUCUUAUGGCACAACUCUGUAACUGUUGCUAUUGUGUCGCAGUGUUAUAUUUUAUAUUGGAAACAAUGCAGUCCAUUUAGUCUAGCAGGCUACAGAUUGGGUGUUUAUUUGCUCCAGUAGAUAUGUAAAUGUGUGUAGGAAAAAAGGCAGUUUCUGGUCAGAGGCAACAUUGCCAUGAGACUUUGAAAGGCCAAAUACAAAUAAAUAGCCUGCAAGCAAAGAGGGCAGGCAGUUCUGGGAAGGAUACUAGCAUAUGCAGAAGCUCAGGGGAACAAAGGAAUACCUUGUUUUAUGAGAUGUUUGUGAGUAGUGAUUGAGUAGGCAGUAGUGGACUUGACAUGGGGUAAGGACACAUGGGGGGUGGCCUGAGUGGGACAAGCACAUGGCUUUAAGACAUCCCUAAGGAGCAUUGGGAGUGGUCUCAAUCAAUUAAGGGAGGACCAUAAACAACUGCAUAUUACAGAAAAUGGCUUCUGGAGGCAGAACAAAAAGUAAGAUGAGAAAGAGCAAGCCUGAGAAAAAACAUGUAUAAGAGACAUGGUUCAAUGGGAGCAAAGGGUAAAAUAUCUUGCAUGGUAGAAGUGUGUCAAAAGGAAUUAAGCAAGAGAGAUCAAACUAUUGAAUAAAAAUGUGGAAGAAUUACUUCACAGAAAAAUAUGAGAAAUAAUUAACUUUCAGAUUUCUGUUUAGGAGAGCUGAAAGUAGGUGAUACUGCCAAAGAAUAUGGAGUAUGAAAAGAAUGCGAUACAGAGGCCACUGGGAAAAUGACUUCCAUCUGGAUGCUGAGAGUCUAAUAUGAGAUGUAGGGCAAGUGAGAGGGAAGGCCAGGUACAAACGACCUGGGCUUGCCCACCACUUGUUUGUUACACCUGAUAUUUUGAAAGCUUAGAUGACAUGAAAGGAGAGGGUGUGGCCUGAAACAAGGAUUCAGGUCACAGUCAUCUAGGUGUGAUUAGCAUCCAGGCAAUAAAUAAAGAGCCCAAACUCAGGUUAAGAAGGAAAUAAUAAAGAUGGUGAAGUAUAAAAUAACAGUAAGAGCGUACAUAAGACAGCAUUGUCUGGUGAUAUCUGACAGGCCUCCCGUUGUGAUGAGGACUCUGGGGCACCUGGGCUCUGGUAGUUUUCCUUUGUGCCUCAGAACACAGCCACCUUCUUCUGAGGAAGCCCAAGUGAAGUUUGUAGAGAGCCCUUACAGAGAGACCACAUGGCGGAGUUCUGGCUGACUAACAGAGGCUUUAAUCAGCUAACACGAGACCGGGAAGUAUGAAGAUACCUCUAGAUAAUUGUUACUUGGACCUGCAAAGUUGUCCUUAAGGCUUUUGUUCUUCCCAGCAGAGGAUUCACACCCUCGAUGUUUACUUCAGAUCUCCCACCUCAAGUGUCUAGAUAUUAUUUAAUGACAAGUUUACAUCACCAGCCUCAGGUGUGUGGGCGUCAUUCAGAGAUAGCACUGGCUAAGUUUAACAGAAGUCAGACAAGUGGGUAGUAAUUCUCGAGAACUGACAGCAUCCUGGAAACAACAGAAGAUAAGUGCUGAACCAAUGAAGAUGCUGAAGUAUCUGUGUCCUGGGGAAGGUUGGAAGGCCAUGGCACAACACAUGCUCCCUGGAUCUAAACAGAAAAUGUGGCCACUGGACGUUGAAACCAUGAAAACCAAUGGCAAAACCACAAGUAUAUGUCAUUUUCUCUGAAAUUAUUUCAGAAAAUAUCUCCACAAUUAAUUAUGUUUACAUCAACAAAUCAAACUGUGGGUUAUGAGGUUAUGUGAGUAACUGAAUGUGGAGUCAUAAAGAAUGUAGCAUCAGUAGAAACUUUCUAAGCCUACAAUGACCACAGAUUGCUUCAAGCCAAAUACUCAGUGAGUCUGAGGUGUUUCUGGAGGGCCUUGCCCAUGGUGCAUCACUGGACUUCACUGAAGUCUUGUCUCUGAACAUAUAACAUCUGCACUUUGCACUGCCUAUGCUGGCGUGGUACACAGCACCAUGAUUUAAAAAAAAAUGACUAUACAGUGCAGGCAGAUGAGAUUUUUGUUAGGAAUAUGAGGCUGGCUUGAUAUCUGAAAUAAAAGUUCAUGUAAGGUAAUGUUUCAACCCAAUAAAGAAAAACACCUCUUGGGUGGUGAUCACACACAAAUUUAAUUCCAGCACUUAGAAGACAGAGGCUGGCAGAUCUCUGAAUUUGAGGUCUAUGGAGUGCAUUCAAAACCUGUCUUGAAAUAAAACAAAACAAAACAAAACAAAAAUCAACAAACCAAUCAACUGCCCAAACAAACAAAUGAUGAAAUGAUCAUCUCAAUAGAUGAAGGGUGUUAAUGAAUACUGUGGUAUAAUAAGACACUUAAUAAGGAUGAGACAGUAGGCAGUUUCUUCUGUCAUCAUGAAACAAGCUUUCACACAAAGCAGAAAGAAGAGAUGGAGGUCUACUCUCAACCAUCUCUAUUCAACAUUGUAUUGCUGGUUCUAGUUAGAGCAAGUAGGUAAGAAAAAUGGAACAAAACAAAUAAGAAAACAAAACAAAAGGCACACCAGAUGGGAAAGAGGAAGUAAAACCCACCACUGUUGACAGAUGGCAUGAUUUAUGCAUAAAGAAUCCACUUAAGCACUGUUUAGAGUAGUAGAUUAGUUUAGCAAUAUUUCAUGAUACAAAUGAAUAUACCUAUGGCAUUUGCAUUUUGGUAUACUUUUGGUAAAGAAUGUGAAAAUGGCAUUAAAGAAAAUGAAAUACUUGGAUAAACUGAAAAAAUUGUGAAGUUCUAUCCUGAAACUGUAAAGUGCUCUGGAAGGUUGUGGAAGGAUAUCUAGAUACCUGGGAAACUAUCGCACAUCCGGGAGCAGAAGGUCUGAUGCUGUUGAAAUAGCAAUGUUCUCCAAACUGACUCUAAUUCAGUGUGAUUGCCAUGAAACUUCCAGGUGUAUACUUUGCUAAAAUUGACAGACACGGUCUAACAAUAAUCUAAAACAGUUUUGAAAGUGAAGAACCAACCUGGAAGUUUCAUAUUUUCAAAUUGUAAAUCUUUACCAAAAGGCUAAGGAAAUUACUAUGACAUUAACUAUUCAAGCCAUUUGUAGUCUACUCCACAUUUUGGAUCUGUUGAUUCAGACAAGAAUAUCAGGAUAAGUCAAAGGGAAAUGAAUACUCUCUUGGGAUUAUAUAGUUGUGAGCAAACUAGACACUCACCUGCUAAAGAAAGUUGUAACUUACCAUAAGUACAUACAAAGUUAACAGAAAUGAAAGAAAGCAAGAGAAAAUCUUCAUGGCCUUGUGAUCAUAGCUAAGAAAGCACAAACAACAGAAGAAAAGUAAACUCAGUAAUGUUCAACCAAAUGCCAAAUGUCACCAUCAAGAAAGGAAAAUGACAACUCACAGAAAAGGAGAAAAUAUUUGCAAAAGAUACAUUUGAUGGGGGAAUUCCAUGUAGGAGAGAAGAACUUUUACUGAGAAAAGACAACACAGUUAAUAUCGAAAAAUUCUAAAUAAGACAUUUUUGCAACAAAGUAUAAAUGGCCAUUAAGCACAUCAGAAAUGCUCAUAUCACUGGGCAACAGAGAAAUUCAAAUCAUAGCUGCAUUGAGAGAAUACUUCAUACUCACUGUAAAGGCUAUAAUCACAAAGAUAAAUAAUAGCAAGUGUUUGAUUGGACAUUGAAAUACUGGAACUGUGAUAUGUUGCAGAGAGAAUUAAAAUAAAAAUGUGGUUUGGCAAGCAGUCUGGUAGCUUUUCAAAGGAUUAAGAGUCAUUACCAUACAGCCAAGUGAUUUCAUCCUAGGUAUAUAACCAAUAUAAACAAGAAUAUACACCACAGAAACACACAAUAAGAGACGUAACAGCCCCCAAAGGGAAACAACCCAAGUGUCCACUAUCUGAUGAAUGGCCAAGCAAAAUGUUGGCCAUCUACAUAGUAAUCUACAUGGAACUAUUAUUCAACCACAAAAGGAACAAAGUAUUGAUACAUGUGGCAACAUGAAUAAACCUUGAAAACAUGCUAAGUCAUCAAAAGCGUGUUAAAAGACUACAAGCUCUGUGGUGGUAUUGAUACAAAAUAUCCUAAAUGGGCAGUUCUAUAGGGAUGGAAAUUAUAGUAGUUGUUUCCUUGCUCUCAGGGAGAAGAAGCGAUUGUGAGUUAAAAGGAGGGGGUUUGGGGGAGAAGGAAGUAUGGUGCCCAGAGCCUACUGGUUCACUGCAGGCUGAUAAAACUCCUCUAGAAAUGACUGUGCUGGACAAAUGGCUGUCAGUUGUACAGCUCUGUAAACAGGCCCUGAGCCAUGGGCUCUUUGUUUGUAGUGGGUGAGCUUCAAACAAGUUGCCUGUAUCUCGGACGGCUGCUCCUCAGGCUUAUUGACUGUCUUUGUUCCAUUUAACUUGCUUAAGUAUAACACUAGAGACAGACACAGUUCCAAAGGGUAGGGGCGUAGAGAAGAUGAAAAGCUCCUACUAUUCUGUGUGGUGAAAGCGGCCACUCACCUGUUCAAACUAUUAAAUUCUGCCUUAUAUUGUAAAAUGUAAUUCACACUUACCACUUGAUCUGAUAUGGCCAUUCAAGCCAAAGAUUAAAAAAGACAUAUAUCAUAGAAUUGCAUGUGCACACAUGUCCAUGACAAAACUAUUCUUAAGAACCCAGAACUAGAAAUCAUAUAAAUGGCCUUAUAUAAAUGUGUGCACACAUACAUACCAAAAAAAAAAUGUUAUGCUUCCAGGCAUGGUGGGGCAUAUCUGUAGUUCCAGCAAUCUGGGAGGCUAAGAUGGGAAGAUUGUGAGCUUGGAGACAGUUUGAGUUUGAAAGAGGGACAAUGUCUAAAAUAAAUUCUGGGCAUGGUACAGGAUGCCUGAAAUCCCAGCCAGAGCUUAAGAUUCAGAGGCCGGAUGGUUACUGUGCAUUUCGGCCAGCCAGAGCGACACAGUUAGACUAGCCUCAGAAAAAAGGGGGCAUAAAUACUUGAAAAUUUAAAACAAAUACAUAAGGAAUAGUAUACAUUAUUAUAAUGUAGAGUACAAGUUACAUCAUAGAUAAGCCCACCUACAGAAAGAGGCCUCCGCUUGAAGAAUAAUGUAUGAGUGAAACACAAUGUAAAAUAUCUUGUUUAACUUAUAGAAAUCACAAUGUCCCUUUCUUGGCUCCGGGUGCUGGGAAGGGGAGAACCUGUGAACAGAAUUAAAGGGAUGGCCUCACUAGCUGAAAAGCUUUUAUAGCUAGAUUCAGGUGGUGGUUACAUGACUAUAUACAAUUUCUCAAAAGCCAUCAACCUUAACAUGUUUGAAUUUCUUUGUAUGUAAAUUAUAGCUUCAUGAAGUUGAUUUAUAAAAAGAAAAAAAAAGAAGAAGAAAGUAGCUUGAUGGAGUAAAUGGCAUAGCUGGAGACAGUUUAUAGGGCUGGAUCCUGAUUGAUGGGAUUUCACGAUUCUUAAAUUGCUGGCUUCCCAGGCCCCUCCAAUCACACAAUGACUGUGCUUUCUGACCCUCCACUCUGCGCAGCCUUGUGAUUCUCAGGACUGUCACUUCUGAUGCAGACAACACAAAAUUGGAAGUUAGGGAUUCCAGCCCUGACUGUAUCAUUUUGGGCUAUGCAAUUUUGAUAUAAACCCAGGCCUAUAACUACAUAAAACCUCUGUUACUGUCUGUGUAUCACAUGGGAUUGUUGCUGCAGUGUUUUGUUAAGUAGCACAGCCAUCUCUCAGGAGGUACUUGCACAUUUUUCGGUGGGAUAGAUGACAAAGUGAACCAGUUAGGAAGAAGAGCGCCCUGUUUAUUAGUGUCUGCUGCCCAGUUCAUUCAAGAAGAAAUGGGACAAUUUGACUUCAUUUGUUAGUUCCUUUUUAAAGGUCCUUGGAUCUGGAGAGAUGGCUCAAUGGUUAAGAGCAUCUUUCAGAGGACUUGGGCUCAGUUCCUAUAUGGCACCUCCAUACCAUUUGUAAGUCCAGUUCCAGGGGAUUUGAUGCUGUAUCCUGGCCUCCCUGGGUACUAGGAAGGCAUGUGGUACAUACACAUGCAUGCAGGCAAUUCGCUUAAAAUAAAUAAAUGAAUCUAAAAUAUAUAUAAUACAACAGUGAUGCCUACACUGAACAGUUGAGCUUCCGGGUUAAGAUGAGGCAAUAUGGUGUGAGUCUCGGGUACAACAGAACAUUCAGCACACAGGUUUCCUGCCUGUUAUUCAUACAAGACUUAGAGCAGACACUACAAGCAGUAAAACUCAUAAGUGUUAAGAACUUCGGAUUGCAGAAGUUUACCUUAUAAGACACCUACAUUUAAGCAAGUCUCUGAGCUGCACGUAGGUGGAAGGCAAAGGGCUUGAACCACACCUGCUCUACACAUGCAGCUCCUGUGCCGCACAGGCACAAGAUAAACAAAAGCAGGCGUUUGGAUAAAAAUAGGAAACAGCCAGCAAGGAUUGAAUGGGGACUUGGGUGUGAAUUUGAAAUUCAUUGGUAUAUCUAAAUAAAGAUGUGGGGGGCUAGGGAGAGGGCACAGUCAGCACAAUGCUUCCUACACAAGCAUGAGGGACUGAAGUCAGAUCCUUAGCCUUCGUGGGCACACAGAGCAGGAAACCUCUGCUGCACCAGCAGCAAUGGGAGACCAGAUGGGUGGCUGGCUCUCACUGCUCAGCUAAUAGCGUCAUAUCCAUGACCUCUAAGUCCAAAGAAGAAAGUAUCUCAAAAUGAAAGGUAGCAAGCAAAUGGGGUCAACCUCUGGACCCCACAUGCACGUGUGUGUGUGUGUGUGUGUGUGUGUAUAAUCUGCACAUACAUGUGUCCACAUCCAUACACCACUAUGUGUAAACAUAUCACACAUGCGCACACACACACACACACACACAGAGAGAGAGAGAGAGUUUAGAGAGUCUGUGCAAAUCCCAGGAGAUUCAGAGAGUCAUGGGACCAAAGGACAAGAACCAUAUAGAUCUAAAUGAUUGCAUGUCUUCCAGUGGCUUUACAAUAUUUCAGCUGUGUCUGUAAAUGGCCAACUGCAAUAUUUUACACCACGUUAUUCAAAUUAAUUGAUUCUGUGCUCCUGGAUUGUACUUGUACUCUUUCAUCUCCUGGAUCUUUGCAAUAAGACUAAAUGAGCCUUCACAGGGAAACGCACUUUGAUCUAGUUACGCCAGGGGAGGGAAGCCCAGGAUGUGCAUUCGAGAUGGUGCUUGGCCUUAUUACAAGGUAAUCAAAAGAAAAUGAGGACAAAUGGCAGGUGCCCCUCCCACGGUUCCUCUGUGUUACCUGAGCCUCAGUCCUAACUGUUUCCAUCACACCUUCCCCAACAACAACAGACAGCUCUGUUUGUACUUUUUAUAGAGAUCAUUUGGUUUCAAAUGAAACAUUUAUAGUCAGAGUCUCUUGAUGGGCCACCUCUGACUCAGAAGUUAACUGAAUUAUUUAACCAGUAAAUGCAUGUAGUUCAACACAGGUAGACCAAACCCGUGUACACACACAUGAAACUCUUCUCUGAGUCACUCUUCCCACCUAAUCCUAAAUUUCUGGAAGCAUAACCGUUCUUUGUCUGUAGCAAAAAUUACAAAUCUAGGGCGCCUGAUACUUAGCACCAUGCCUAAGCAGCUAUAAAACCUCCUUCAAAUCACAUAAUCUUGCUUGCUCUCGAGGUCUCUAUCAUUAAAACUUCUAUCACACAACUCUCUCAGAGGAAGAGAUUAAAGGCUUCUCUCCAUUACGAAUUGCCUGAGUCUGACUCUGAACUUGGUGAUCAUCAUGUAACUGGGUGGGGGAGGGGCUGAGUGCCACCCCUACUCUUGGUUGCUUUAAUGCUUCAUAGUUUCAGUAACCUCAGCAAGGCUUCACUCUGCUCUGAAGACUCUGCAGAAAGACGCAUCUUCUCUGUUACUAGACUUUCUUAAGGACAGCUGCUCAUAAGACUGGGUAAACCCAUCCUGGCAAGCAUUCAAUUCACAGUCUCCAGGGGUGGCUCACCAGAAGAGCCUAGAGAUGGGGAGGAACUGUUGUCCCUCUUUCCAUUGUCAGCUGGUUUAAAGGAGAGGUGCUCAGUUGUUCUCUUGAGUCAGCCCAGAAUCCAAAUCUCCAUGUGUGUUUCUGUGAACCUAGAACCAUGGGCGUAACAUGGUCCAGUGUCUGCACUUCUUCUUACUUGAGAGUUUCCUUGUACUUCCCUGCCGGGAUGGAAGUCCAGGAGAUGGAUAGCAUCAUGGCUGAAUGUUCUGUUUUCUAGAGUACUGAUUGCUCAGCAGUCAGUAUCUUCCAUCAGUGGUGACCAGCUGCAGCAGAAACCCAUAGGUGCGACUUGAAUUUCAUCUCUGUCACUGGAUGGGUGCUCCUUUGCGGUUUGUAUUUAAUCUUGCAUUUUCUUCUUUGCAAGUAAAUAGGAGAGUGUUGUGGCAUAUACCUCACUCGAGUUCUUACUACCACUGAAUGAGUUAAUACCUAAGAAACAUAGAAAUUGUGGCUGAUGCUCAUGUAGAGUCUUUCAGUGGACAGUGUCUUUAUCACCACCACCACUGUUGACAUCGUGGUCACGUCAUCAUCAUAGUCAUCGUCAUCGUCAUUGCCAUCACCAUCAUCACCAUCACCAUCUUCUAUUCCAACUGUGUUUUCUGUCCGCUGUCAUACUUCUGGUUUUAGCCCAGCUUUUCCUCGGAAGUAUGAUACUAACUUCCUGACAAUAUAUUCCCUUUAACUUGUUAAAGUUAGUGUUGGAUUUUUGUAAAAGAGAAAAAUCAAAUGUAGCUACCGGCAUGGGUUGCAAGUGGCAAUGGGGAAUCUGAGUGUUGCCGGGAACAAAAGGAGAGCAGACCUGGCGUCAUUCUCUCUGGGCUAGGCUAGAACUAUGAUCUGCCAGAGUAGUUAAGUAAGUUAUUAGAGGUCACACAGCUGAAAAACCAAGAGCCUGAAGUGAAAGCUGGAUUUGUCCGUGAAAGCCAUGGUCCUCCAACCAGACCAAAGAUUUUGGAAUCUACUUUAAAAAAAAAAAGUCUCACCCUUCUUGUUGGCUAUGUUUACAAUGUCUGAAAUACACAUUCUAAUGAAUUCCCAUACAAAGGAUAGAAUGAAGUGUAGAGACUGGUGUCGCAGCAUUGACAGGAAUCACUGGUCAUAGUCACUGAGGGACUAGUAGACCCUCAGUUCACACUAGAGGUAAUAAACUUGAGAUAUCAGAAUCUUCUUUCUGCUCCCCCUCUCCCUUCACCAUCCUCUGCCUCCUUCUCCUUUCUCUUCCUGUCUGUGAGGUUUCAAUUUUAACUCUGGGCACAUCACUCAGUUUCUCAAUCUGUAGUCAGAUAAGCACAGAACUGCUUGGACUUCAGUGGUUUGAGAAGUUUCUCUUACUGUUGUCCCAUCUGUCUACUUUCUGCUUCUUAGCUAGCCACUUGGGCAGUGUGUGUAAAGCCCCUGAUAGCCAGCACUGUCAUCUAUCCUGCAGGUGAAACAGCUCAGUAACAUGAGUAUCAGGAUGAGUGAUGCCAAGCAGGACCUGGGUCAAACAUACUGAACACAGGACAGUUUGAAGACCACACACCCAACUCUGCCUCACCUGUGAUCUGAUGACUAAUGGGAACUUUGUACAACAGGCUGUCAUGGAUACUGGGGCAAUGUUAGGGACCCAGGAUCUCAGUCCUAAAGAGAUUCUCCUGUCCUACAGGGGUGGCAACAAAAGAAACCCAGAUAAGAACCAUGUAAGCAGCUGUGUAAGGUUGCCAUUGGCAGUUCUACCUAGUGGAUACGUUGCAAAAGCUGUGUAAUUAGAUAAUAAAGCUGAAAACACUCAGCAAGUAAAUGUGGUAUAUAAAUAGAAGAUACUACUGCCUUCAGGUGUAACAGCUUCGUAUUUAGACACAUUCUUUUUUAUAUCUUGACUUUAUGUUUUAAGGAAUUCAAGAUGGCUUUAAAAAUACAAAAUUCUGUGUGUGAGUGAAUGAGUGAGUGUGUGUGUGUGUGUGUGUGUGUGUGUGUGUGUGUGUGUGUGUGCUCACACGAGUGCAUGUAAGCCUUCCUACGCAAAUCAGGAAAUGAUGAAGCCAUAAAGAAAAAGAUUGGCAGAUUUUAUUACAGACAAAUCAAAACUGUUGUAUGACAAAUGGUGUUGUGAAAUAAGCUAAAAUCAGGAGCCAGACUGGGACAGACAUGUGCAGCUGUUUAUAACAAAGGGUUAAUGUCUAUAAUACAAACAACAUUUGCACAAAUCAAUUUUAAAAGCAAUAAACAACUCAGUAGAAAAAUAGAUGAAGAACACAGGCAAACAAUUCACAGAAGACAUGCAAACAUCUAAUAAAAUUAUGAAAUAUGAAAAUAUGCAGAAUUACUUCCCUUGGUAACUCCAAUAUGAAAAUAAAAAGAGGUUUACCUUCUAACAUAUCAUGCUGGGAGAAAUAUAAAGUGUUGGGAGUGUCUGCUAUUGGGGGUCAGUGGAAAGACCAUGCUUCUCUGCACUGGUGAGAUCAUUAAUUGGUGUCCCCAUUUAAAGGGCAAUUUGACUAGCAAUAUAUACAUUUAAAGUCAAUGGGCUCCUUGAACAAGCAGUGUCCUGUCAUAAUUCACCUUAUAGAAGUGUAUCUUGUACAGAAACACACAAACAUUUGUAUUUGUGAGGUGACUCUAAAAACUCUUUGGAAGAGUAAACUAUUAUAAAGCCCCAGGGAUCACAAAGUUAAAUACAUUUUUUUAAAUGGUCCUAUCAUUUAAAAGAUCUAUUUGUUUGUUUCUUUGGUUUUUUUUUAAUUUUAUAUGUAUGAGUGUUUGCCUGCAUGUAUCUAUGCACACCACGUUAGAGCCUAAUGACUAGAGAGGUCAGAACAGGGCAUUGGAUUUGUCUGAAACUGAACUUGAUGGUUGAAGUAAGCUUCCAUGUCUGUACUGGGAAUGAAACACUGGCUCUCUGCAUGAAUAUAUCAAGUACUCUUAAUCACUGCAUUAUAUAUGCACAAGUAUAAAAGUGUACAGAAAAUUUUGAAAGAACAUAUAUCAAACUAAGUAGAAGUUAAUGGGAGCUAUUGAGUUAAAAACAUUAAUAAAUAUAGGCUAAACACCAUAUUAGCUACAAUAGACAGCAUGGAGAAACUGGUACUGAGAAUGGGAUGGGAUACUGUAAUAGAUAUCUAAAGUUGUGGAGUGGCUUUAGAACAUGGUAAUGGUUAAAAGCUGUAAGAAUUGAGGUGAAUGUCCAAAGAUGCUACUAUUAAAGCAGAGGAAUACAGUUGUGGCGAGGGCUCAGGGAAGAGCAGUGCUGAGGAGAAGCCUCCAUACUUCAGGUACACAUAAAUACUACAUAUAAGAUGUGGAGGAUGCAGAAUGGUCAAGGUUAAUCUAGUGGUGACCUCUUAGGUAGAAACGGGGAGCAUGUAGGGAACUGGAUGAAAGGCAACCCUGGUUAUAGUAUGGGAAAGAACUUGGCUGAAUUUUGUUCACCAUCUAAUAUUUUGUAGAGGGCAGAAUUUGUGAAUGAUCGGAAAAAAAGUUAGAACUUUUGGAUUUCACAAGAUGUGGUGAUAGAGCUACUCAGGGGUAGAUGCGAACUGCCCUUCAGAUGGGGAAAGAUGUCCUGGAAGCUGUUUCAGAGGUCAGGUUUGACUCCUUAGAUACAAUCUGGAGUGAGUCCAGCCCUAGAAAGCCAGAAAGUGUUGCAGUUGUGGUUCUUCAGGGUCUUGUGAUACUACCUGUUCCCCAAAGAGUUAUGGCAGCAGGAAGAUGGGGAUCUAAGAGGAAGACAAGGGAUAAAAUACAAGAGGAUCAUCACUCUGUCCAAAGGAUCCUUGGAGUGUGCCUUGUGGUGUGUCCUUGCUCCUUCUCCUUGCAGAAAGGCACUAUCUGUUGCAUACAGCCCUUGUCUGCAUCACCAUUUCACCUUGGAAACAGAACUUGCUUGUUUGCUUUUGGUAAGGCCACAGGUGCAAAGCAGGAUUACCUCAGGAGUCAGAUCAGUGUUCAUCUCUCACCUACACUUGGUGAGAUAUCGCCUUUAGGUGAUACAAAGGUGAAACGUGGGGCUUUAGGCUUCAGAGUUCAACCUUUGAUAGGGGCUUUGAGGUGGAAUGCAUAUUUUUACACAUGAGAAAAACAUGAAAAACUGGACACCUAGAGACAAUAUGCUAUAGGCUAAAUGUUUCUUGGAUAAAUUUCCAUGAUGAACCCUCUAUCUCAUUACAAUGGUAGAAGGGGGGGGGGGGGCUCAGGAGACAAUUGGUUUAUGAGAGAGAAGCUCUCCAGAAAUCAAAAGAAGUAGGUGUGGAGUGAUAUGCUCUUACAGUUUGAAGAUGCUGAAUCAGCUGGUAACUUGGUCUUGACUUGUCUGUCCUCUAGAACUAGGAAAAAUUAUUCUUCAUUGAGACAUGUCAGUCUACAACAGCGAUUCUAAACCCAAAAGUUGCAACCCCUUUGGGAGUUGAAGAACCACAUCACAGGGGACACAUAUCGGAUCUCCUUCAGACCAGCUAGUCAUAUUACAAUUUGAAAUAGUAGCAAAAUUACAUUCAUGAAGUAGCAAUGAAAUAGUUUUAUGGUUGUGGGCUACCACAACAUGAGGAACUCCAUCAAAGCUAAGGCUGUGAAGCCCUGGUCUAUGCUAUUUGGGGUAAGAGUGAACAUAACAUGGAAGUCACCUCUCAUGGAGCUUACACAUAAUUGUGCUGAAACAAGAAGUAAGCACACAGUAUGUAGAGCCCUGUAUGUUUAACGGCAAAGAAUAAUAAAAGUGAGAGGUAAAUUUUGGGGGGUGAAGAUUGAAUCAGUACAGGAACCUUGAAGGUCACUGAAGUGCAUUUGCAUAGACAUCUAACAACAAUCAGCAAAUGGCCCUAGUGUGAGCUAGGGGAAGAGUGUUCUAAGAUAUAAGAGGGAAUGCAGAGACCCUGAGACAAGAUAUCCCAGGAAAUGUCCCAUUUCUUGAGCAAAGUGUUCAAAGGAAAGUUCUGAAGGAAAAGAACAUUUUUCUGAAUGAGGUGGAAAGUGUGCCAGGAAUUUAUGCGAGAGAAUGAAUGGCAGCUUGAAGAAGGCCACUCUAGGAUCCUGUCUCUAGAAUGCUGUUCUGUGAAUAGGUUUAAGCAGGGUUAUGGUGUAGUAAGAUGAAAUUAGGUUAGUAGGCCAUCACAAAAAUCUAGGCAAGUCAGCCAAGUGGCUUGGAACAGUUAUUCAUCUCUUUGCAGUCUGUUUUUCUUUUUCCAUUGUUCUGUAGGAUCCAUUGCAGGCCAUGUCUCUGUGUUUUUGCCACACAAAAUCAGAUCUCUCUGGUAGACUAAAGACAGCACGUUAAUCAACUCUGAUGGAGUUUGGGCAGAGAAAAACUCUGGACCAGCAUCAGAAGCAGCUUCUAGGAGAGACAGACAGGGUUCAGGUACAAAUAACACCGCUAGGAAGGGAAUCUCACAUCACCAUGCUCUUUUGGAUGAAGUCUCAAAAAGGGGUAGGGGAAUUUCUUGCUUAAAAAUAUAAGCAAAUAAGAAGGGCAGGGUUUGUGAAGUGGGAGGAGCUUCUGGUUGGGGUCACUGGACACCAGAGAACCUGGGCAUCUUGCAGACAUGAAGUCUGGGAAUUGAAGUACAAGGUGAGAGCCUUGGUGUAGCACUGGGCAGCUGUUGCUUCCUGGAGCCUUCACUGUAGGUAUGCAGAGACAUCCUAAGGGGGUGACACACAGAGAGAGGAGUAUGACAUGGGACCUGGGUGGAUAUUAGUUUUAAGAAGUAGGAAGUUGAAUGAGGAAUCACCAGCAAACAGCUCUGUGAGGCUGUGGAUGCGAUUGGAACCCUGGGAACAGGAAAAGAGCAGAAUUCCCAGGUGUCCUAUCUCUAGGGCAGCACCUAAAGACUCUCUGCCUAUAGGGUUCCCUCCAGAUCUAGAACAGGACAGAACCAUGAAGUAACAAGCAGAAUUUUCAUCUCCUGUGACUGUUGUUGGCUUAGAUUUGGAGGAAGCCUAGCAGUUUGGAAUACCCUCCAUCCUCCAGGAGCCUCACUAAUGGGCACUUCACAUUAGCAUCUGCGUGCUUGUUUCAACCUGCCACCUGCCUCAGCUUCAAGUGCUUCCCAUUUGAAGUUCCUGGAAAUUUCCCCCACUCUGACUAGUAAAACAUGAUCUGUGUGCUUCCUCCCUUCCUCCACUCAUAAUAUUUAUACUCAUUUGUCUUAUUGAAAUCUAUCUUCCCUUUUCUGUUGAGACGGUUUGACUGGCAGGUCUUAGUCUCCUGCAGCUGAAACCCUUCUAUUCUCUAGACAAUGAGGUACAAGCGCUCUGUCUUCUAUUGUGCUCAGUGGCCUUCUCUUCCCCCAUCUUCAAUCUUAAAAGGCAUGUCUCAGAAGCCUCCAUCUUAAAUGAGGGCCUGGAAUAUGGACAAUUGAACCAGCAAUUCUGCAUUUAACCAGUUGUGACCAAAUGAAGUAAACAUUCUGGAUAUCCUCUCUCCCAGAUGCCUGUGCUGGGAAUCUGCCCCAGCUUUCACAGUAUAGUAAGUACUGGGAAAGGAAGGAGGAAACUGUACCUGCUGAUGUAAUAAGGCCUCCACUUCAGUCCAUGCCAGAAAUGUCACAUCAGUCUUCUUGGUGCACUCUGCACUUUCUAAGGGUGGGGAUUGUGCCCACAUUAAUUUUAGGGAUGAGGAAAUUGGAGCUCAGAAAGAUGCAGUAAUAAUAUGGGAUUGCUCUCAAGAGCCCUUUAAAAGGGUUGACAGGGAAGUAAAGCCAACUGUGGACUUUCAGAAGAGGAAUGUCUCUUUCCUUCUGUGGAAAGUUGACCUUUUCUGCAGAUGGACUGGAAAGGACUGUGACUUCAAGUACCAGGUCACCCUAUAGGACAUGAGUGUCCCAUCUCUCCUUUAGCUGUCAUAGUUAAGAGUGUGUUGUUGAAUGAGUGAGGCCAACUCUGGCCGAGUUCUUCACUUUUAAGCAUGUUCAUGUCUUACAUGGUUUCGCAGUAUCAGUGGCAAGUGGCUCACUGUCUGCUUCUCCUGGAGAAUGGGCCUCAGAGUGGUGCUCAGGAGAAAACAACCCAGGCUCCAUAAACCACUUUCUAAACCAGGCUGAGGCUGAUGACUUAAUGGGUUUGGGGCACAUUUGAACAGACGGUCCCCUGGUGUUCUAUUGCCAACACCUCAAAACUCAGCUGUGUGUCAGGUCCUGCCCUGGAGACAAGCCUUCCCCAUCUGGUGACCCUCUUCUGCUAUGGAUCCUCAGCCAAAACUAGUCAGUUUGGCCAGAUUGUGAAUAAAAUCAUCUUUGAAAUAUUUUAAAAUCUAGUGGUGCAUACUACAGAAAAACCAAGCUUGUUCUGACUUCUCUGGCUCACUACUACCAAGUACAAUACCCAUGACCCCUCAAGGACAUCAUUCUAUAACUUCAAAGAGUAUCAUCCAGAUUUUGAAGUACCUUUGUUCAAAUUAAGCUCUAGAACUUUCUUUAGAAAACAAACAAAGAAGUGCAUUGCAUGGUAGUACUUAGUUGGCAAAAACGCUUUAGGGAGUCCAUUAUCAUAUGAAACACACUCCCCAGCUUCUAACCCUGCCUCUGCCAAUAACAAGUUCUAUGACUUGUAGAAGUUCACUAAUAUCCACGAACUUGUGUUCUUUCAUCUUUAAAAUUUUAAUUUGAUUCACCUAUGGAUUCCUGUGGUAAUGAGAGAUUCCACAAUGAGGAGAAAUGGAAGAGAGUCAAAGGGGGGAGAGAGAGAAAUGUAGGGGGGCACUUAACCCAGGUCUUAAGUUUGAGUUUAGGGCCACUUUUAGUUUUGUGCUCAUCAGAAUCAAUGAAUUCGUGACUUGAUGCUCUUUCCCAUACUGAUUUCCAGUUCUCAAAAUGUCCUGCUUUCUUGGGGCACACCUCCUUUCUCCUCCACGGCAAUUUCCUUGCACACACUGGUCCUACUCACAGCUUUCAAGAUUCAGCACCCACACAGGCCUGAUUUGUACCUGAUUCAGAGCAAUGGCAGUUUCUGGUCUGCCAUGGCUCACUCUCCCAUUUCCUCUGAGUAUCUCCUAAGCUUGUUCACUCCCCUCUGUCCCCUGCUAAAGUCUGAGCUCUGGAAUUGAAGUCUCUUUACAAUCUUACUCCAUCAAAACUUCUGCUUAUUAGAGAUGGCAACUAUUUGAUAGGCGUGAUUGUUCUAGAACAAUCACCUAUGGGGUCAGAGGUUUUUUUCCCUGAUAGAUAAAAUAUACUCAGCGCCAUUUGCCUCUCGCCAGCUUUUCCACUUAAUGGCGAUUCUUGCAGAGUAUGGCAGCUUGUGAGGGAGUCAGUGUUACAGUAAAUUCACAGAGAUGGUUGCAAAUCAAAGCCAUUAAAUUACAGACCAUCUACACACAGAGAAAACAAGGAGUGAAGCACAGGAAAGGCUUCUGAACAAAAGCCUUGCCUGUUUCCUGAUCGGACGCUUUGAGGGCAUUCAGCUGAGCACUUGGCUUGGCUGUCAAGGCUCAAAAAGUGACUGUCACUAUCACCCAGAUGAAAACUCGCUCACCACCCUGAUGAGCCUGUGGGGUUUAUUUGACAGAGCCAUAAGCAUUAUUCCUUCCCGUGUGCUGCCCUUGUGUCUAGGCAGAAAGGAAGUGGCAAAAAAAAGUUCCUUUUAGAUGGAGCUUCAGACUUUUUUUUUCUCUUUUAGCCAAUGAUGAUUGAAAGACAGUCAAGUUAUAUGAACUCAAACACUUAGGAAAUAUGCAGUCAGAGCCUUGGGAUAGAACAGGGCUGUACUUACUGUCCGAGGGCUUACUCAGUUUUGAGGGCGUCAAAAGACUCGCUUGUGACACAUUCUAUUUGGGAUGUAUCAGCAGUCUAGGAACAAACCUGAAACCUUAUGUGACAUUGAAACAACCCCUGGAAGAUGAACAGGAAACUUACCAGCCAAUUAAGCCAAUGCCCACUGUAUUUUAUCUAAACCUAUCUCUGAACUUGGGGAAAAUGCAUGAUAAUUAAGUGUAGUCACCCCAGUGAUGGUUGUUCAGGAGCCAGAGAAGAUUAGCUCAGAUGAGGACAGAUCACAGAGAAUGUGCCCUUCUGUCUUAUGAGUUUUCUGCCUGAUGAAAUAACCCAGCCAAGCAUCUCCACAUCCCAGAGCAUCAGGCUGAGAGCUCUUGCCUGGGUUCCGAUUAGCAAUGGCUCAUGGAUCGGAUCGUCCCCUCCUGGAAGAUGGAGUCCUGCUGUCCCCAGCCAGGCUCUGCCUGAGAAGAUCUGUACUAGAAAUACCUGAGCAGCUGUCCCUGAGUUCCUGCUGUCACAAAGUACAAAUGCAUCUGUGAGUAAGGCUCCACAGCUAACCCACUGUAAAUGCCAGCUCCAUUAGUGUGUCAGGUGAGCAAUCUAUUAGGAAAUCUAACGCCCCUCCCUCAUUAUAGGAAAACAGAUGAGCUGUGCCUCGAAGGGGGGCAGGGGUAUGCACAGGAGUUCUUUCUUUCUUUGUUUUGUUGUUGUCGUUGUUUUGUUUUUGUUUUUUCAAGACAGAAUUUCUCUGUGCAACAGCCCUUGCUUUUCUAGAACUUGCUUUGAAGACCAAGCUAUCCUCAAACUCACAGAGAUCCACCUGCCUCUGCCUCCUAUGUGCUGAGAUUAAAGGGAGUGGGCUGUGGAGUUACAGGGAUGGUGCUUUGAAUCCUCGCUGUUACAAUACAAAUGGGAGAUCCGAACAUCUGCUUUGAAAGUUUGGAGACACCUGACAUGAAAAGUAAGCAAAAGUAAUUCCUAACUCACAGCAAUCAGAAGAGUGGACAAGGUCAAAGGUGAAGAAGAUAAACCAGAAGUAGCCCAAAGUGAAGAUAUACUUAUGUUUAUUCCCACACUUUUGGUACAGCUAGCCUCGCCCCAAGUCCCUAGGUAGCUCUGUUUGGCAGGGUGAGGACCGGACCUAAGCAUCUCCAUAGUUUGCCUUCAGUUCUCAACAGGAUGCUCUCAUGCCCAGCUACCUUGCUUAGUUCCCGCCUUCUGGACAUGCCUUGCCUGUCAGGAUAUUUCCAAGAUUCUCAGAGUCCUUCCCUCUAAGCACCCUACUUCUUUAUCUUCCCAGGAGGGCUUGAGGAUACAGCCCAACCUUGGAGCAACUCAGACCCACCACAAGUACUUUUUGUUAUUGCCUUCUUGCAAGGUGAGAGAGGACAACGUCUCAGAAUGAAAGAUUCUCCUCCAUGCCCUCUCGCAGCAGAGGCCCUAAUUCAUUUUUCAUGGCCCCUUGCAGUGACAAAAGCCGCUGCCUUCUCUCUUGUAAGCGUGCUCCAUGCAAUAAGUCAAAGCUGAUGUGCAUUUUCCCCCUGGGUACCAGAGCGCACUUUGAUUUAAUUUGCCCUGUUGUUUGGCACGGAGCCUUUGCCAGCGAGUUUCUUCUCAGACCUGGGGAAGCAGGCCCUGACAGCGAUGGGGUGCAGUGACAGAUGGGGUUCAGUGGGUAGUGUUUAAAUAAUUUGCUACAAUGAUAAAGGAAAUGCUGUAUAGUGACAGAUGUUCCUGCAAACAGGCAGUUGGAUAGACACACACACAUCCUGUUUGGGAGAGCUGGGAGCACAAGACAACAUGCUCCCACAGAGACAGACCCACUCUUCAUGAGUUAGAAUGGAUGGGGUCACAGGAGAACUACAGGGUCCCUCAGAGGUGGUGGGGCUGGUGAACCCGGCUCAGCCUCUCCUAAACAGUCAUUGAAAAUCAUCUGCAAGGCACUGACAUGAUAGCUCCAUUCUCUGCUUAUGCCACUUUCACAGUGUCCAUCUCAUAACAAGUCUGCUUUCCAUAUAGGUGAGGCCAAAACCUAGAAGGAGUCAGGCUGGACCUCACCAUGAGGUGAUGCAGCCAGGGAACCCCUUUCAGGAGCUGUUGUGUGCUGUUUAAACUGUAGACCCACCAAAGUAUAAGCUAAAUAAAACUUUCAUUAUAAAGUUUAGAUCCUAGGCCUCUUAUAUUUCGUUAGAAUAACAGAAAGUGGUAUAGUGCAUUUAGAGAAGAUGUCCCAAACAAGAGAGUGAGAGAGUACAUUGUGACAAUGAAGGGGUGCUGGCAGAAGUAUGAGGUGGCUGGUAAACAGAUGUGUUUCCUACAUGGUUCUAAACCCAGCUGAGAAGAUGAACCAUCAUCAGGGUAUGUGUAUGCAUCAUAGAUGCCCAGCACAGGGGGUGACUGGUUUGUUUCUGUUCCUGGGAUGAUGAUGUGUUUCUGACUAUUCUCACGUUUCUCUUCACAUUACUUCUGUGGUCAUCAGAGGAGAGGACCAAGCGCUGGACAGUGUCAGUUACCUACUUCUGAUGCUGCGGUCAUAAUGACAGAUGAACUGUCAUUGUGGCAUCUUCCAAAACAAAGGGUUGGAUGAGUGGAAGAACUGUAGCAAGAUCCGAUUGUGCAACAAGCUGGAGUCUCUGGGUGUGGCAGGAGAAGAUCAUCUCAGCCGGUGGUUUCUGAGAGCUACAUGUACUUACUCAGACGUGUGGGAAUCCACCUUUGCCCUUGAGAAACUAUGCACAGAUAUGGGGUAUGGACAGCAAAGAGAAGCACGGUCCUCUCCUCUCUGUCAGCAACAGUCAUUCUUUCAGCUCAGAGUCUGGUGAAAAUCCACCAUAGCAGUGUGGUAGCAGUUGUAGCAGCUUACGACAACUUGUUCACAAUGGACCUGCAAUCAAGGAGCACAGGAGGGACUCUAAAGGUCCCUUUUAAUAAAUGUUAUAUGAUAGUCACAAAGACUAUGUUUGACAGGCUGUGCCUCAGUCCUGAUGUGGCUGCAUGUCUCAGGCUGAUGUUUCAAUAAGAAUGACUUCAUCUUCCCGUGGCAAGUCUGAGAAGAAUGUUAUAGCUAUCCCACAGGACCAUCAGAAGAAUCCGAGGCAGCUCAUGGGAAAAACACACAAGAGAUUCAACAGCCCUAGCAGGAUGACCUGAUGACCCCAAGUCUACCUGCAAGCUUCUGCGGUGAGUGUUAUGUUUAAGCAGAGGAAGAAGAGUGGCAGGGUGUAACAGGUAUGCAUAAUUAAGCAAGUUUGCCCAAUGUGUGUUUCUGUCCAUCACUGUCCAGGUCUGGUCCUACACAGUGGUUUACCCAGAAGUUUUCAUCCCUUUCAUCCCUGGAAAGGAAUGAUUUGCCUCUCAAGAGAUGACUACUUAUGGUGCAGCCUAGUCAUCUAGAUAAUUAUCCCUCAUCUGAAAUGUGGUCUAUCCUGUGAGGCUCAUUGUUGCUUGGUAAUAGUAUACCUUGCCCAAAAAUGUCUAUUGAUCAACCCUGUUGCUCUUACAAUGAACAUAACUUGGGGGAAAUCUUAAUUUCUUUUUUUUUUUGAAAAAAAAAUCUCACACAAAAUCACCUCAGCCUCAUAUCCUUCUGACCAUCACCUCUCAUUUAUUACGACCCAAGGUCACAUGCUCCUUCCAAACUUCUUCCUAAUAGGAAACUGUUGUUCUGUGCUUGAGCUUUCUUUUCUUCCUCCUCACUUACCACAAUCUCCCUCCCUCUCUAUCUUUCCCUUUUCUAGAACCCUCUACUGUAUGGAUAGUAGAUGAAUGGCAGCCUCAGAUGUCAAGGUAGACGAACUAGGUUCUUGCAUUUGUUCUUGCAUCCAACCUUGAUUUUGGCUGCUUCCUUUGCCUGUAGGCAAACUCAUCAAGUCUAAUAUCUGUUGCAUGUUGUCUGUUGUCUGUCAUAAAUAACUAACAAGGAAAGAACAAGUGGAGCUCAUAGGAAAAUAAGUUUAAUGGCUGACUUUUAGAUAGAUUUACAGUGGUUGUUCUUCUGGGAAGUAAAUGUUAAAAUAAAGAUCAGAAAAAGAAGUCGGUCUAAGUUAAACUGAUUCUAGUAGGCAGCCCAGAGUCAGGGGCAGGGGUGUGUGGGAGGGGGUAGGUAGGAUGGCUGAACAUUUCCGGAUGAGGAGUUCAGACUCCAAAGAGGAAUCUGCUUUAUAGACAUUCCAUCUAGAAGACAUCAGCCUCCUGAUUCACAGUGGUCACCCCUCACUGAUCAAAGACAGGUCACACAAAACCACAAAACGUGAGUUCUUCAGAAUGCAUGCCUCCAGCCUGAAAUUUGCUCUCACAGGUGGGGCCAGACGUACUAGAAAGUCAUGGCCAACCGGACUGAACCCUUAAUCUUUGAUCUCAUUGGUACUGAAGAACAGCAAAGUCCAAGGAAAUGUAGGCUGGCACUCCACUUGGACAUUUCUGUAUAUACUGUUGAGUCAGUUAAAAUCCAAGCACUGAUGGUCAUACUUGACUUUCGCAGUGACUUGGUAAGGUGGACAGUGCAGACUUUUGGCCUCAUUUUCCACCCAAGGAAACUGCGACUCAGAACGAUAAAAUCUGUUUGCUAAGCCAGCAAUGCCUUGACCUUUGCCUCAAGUACAGUCACCAGCAUAUAGGAUACUCUAGCCUGUGACUGGAAAGGUGAAGUGGGCUGUGGUUUAGGACCAUCCCUUGUCACCUCCUGAAAUGACAGAUGGGCACUCAGGAAACCUUCCUUUGACAGCAAAUGAACUCGCCAAUUUACAUUCCCCUUAAAAACACCAGAGAGGAGCUUCCUUCCUAGUGCAGAAAAUGCUAGAAGCUACCUAAGGAAAUACACACAGCAGCUUGCCCCAGACUUAGGGGCACUUGGCGCCAGACACUUUCCGUCUUGUUUAGCAAGCCCACAGGCCGAGAGAACAAGAAUCAAAGCUCAAGUCCACACUGAAGUGGGAAGUCUAAUAGGAAAAACCUCUUAUAAUAAGUGAAGAGCCCAGGAUGCUGCAGCCCCUGAUGAGAGGAAGCUCUGAGAUGAACAUCCCUUUCAAAAAAAAAAUAGUCUUAUGGUUUGGAUGACCUGGGCUGUAAAGGAAAGGAGAAAAGGCAUAAUUUAGUUUGAAGUGGUUCUCAAUAGCAACCUUUCCCCGUCAUCCUGCAGAAACAAAUACAAUGGGAUCGAAAGGAAGGCUAUGGCUUUCUUCAGAGGCAUAGAACUUAUUUUAUUUUUUUAAUACAGUGAUCUUCACAAUGCAAAAUAAAAAUUAACUUAAAUAAAGAACAGUCACAGGAAAAUGAUGAUACCAUGACCAAGAAAGGAAAGUCAGGCUUGUGAUCUAAAGAAGGUGUGAGCAGAGCAGACAUCAACUAUCACUACUUAAAAGAAAUCAGUGAAAGACUUGAAAAUCUUAAUAUAAAAACAUACAAAGGUUAGUAUGUUGGCAGGAACACUGAAAAUAGAAUGGCUAGAAAUAAAUACACACAUGCCAUUGUUCUUUUUCAAUGUAUUGUUGUUGUAUUUGAGUGUGUGGACAUUCACAGCUCACAGGCAGAGGUCAUAUGACAGCAACGUAGAAUUGGUUUUCUCCAUCUACCUUUAUACAUGAGUUCCAGAGCACCAACUAGGUUAUUAGGUUGCAUCCAGGAGCUGUCCCCAGACUUGGGAGCAGUCUAAGCCCUGUCUCUAGUCCCAGUAAAUAUCAAUUGAUAGUAAAUAUGUACAAUAUAUUUCAAUAAAAUAUUAGACAUAAUUUAUAUAAAUAUGUAUCACAUUGAUGUAAAUUAAUAUACAAUGAAAACAUAUGCCAAUGGAAAGGCUUCAGGGACGGUAACAAAGCUCUAGACAGGUCAGUUAGCUGAGAGAUGAAUAAAAUAAUCAUCAAGCAGAAGAUAGCAACACAGAGAUGGGGGCUGCAGAUUCAUACGGGAAUCUCGACUCUGUUUCACACCUAGAAAACAGACUCCAAGGAGAACAGAUAGGGAUGAAGGGUCACGAGAUAAUAUCACAAGUGAUUAAGGCUCAAAGGUUACAGAACCUAUAAAAUACAUCAAUGUACAGAUUCAAGAACAGCCGCAAAUUCGAAAACAAAAUUAAAAACCAGCAAAAGUGUGUUUAACUAGGCAUAGCAUAGUCCACCUUCAAAAAUCUAAAAACCAGAGGAAAACAGUCUGAAAAGUGACAAGGGAAGAGAGCUGUCCAUGUACAGAUUACUUUAAUGAACUCCAGGUUCAAAUUGACAAGGGUAUUUCAGAAUUGGGGUACAUAUCACAUUUUCAUUCUCUGACAGCGGAGGAAACACACUACCAGCCAAUGUCCAGCAGAGGAAUGCCCCCAGUAAGAAUCUUGGAAGAAGAAAACCAACAUCAGCUGGAAAGUCUAAGUAAGGCUCAGGGUGAGCUGAGGUCUCAGGAAUGUGAUAAAUACAUACAGAAUGAUGCCUGUAUGUGUUGUUGACUUGGCAUUGAAACAAACUGAAGACUCUGGACACGGCACUGCCUGGCUCUGUCUGCAACCUCCACUUUUAUCACUUUGUGGCUACAUGCCACUUUCAGGAGGGAAUUCUGCAUUUGGCUCUGAAGCUUUUCUCUUAUGUCACAAGUCUGUGUGCUUUCAGGGACCACUUCAAAUGCUCACAAGAAAAAAAAAAAAAAAGAGUUCCAAACGAGGCUAUCAGGAAGGCCUGACAAGAGAAACGAGCUUCCCAAAAUAUGUUGCCUGUUGCCAAUGCUUUUGAAUAGCACAACCAAGGAACAACCUGUUGCCCUGGGAGGAAUCACGUAAAACUCUGGAGCACUGCUUUUAUGUGAAUGGCUAUCCCAGCAGAAACUUUUCCCAGGAGCCCCUUCUUCAGCUGGCAGAAGACAACACAAGCACAUUACACACAUACACACACACACACACACACACACACACACACACACACAUACAGAGAGAGAGAGAUGCAUGCAUGUACACAAACAUUCCUCACACUUUCAUUAACAAACACAAUCAUAGUCUUAUUUGAUAUGCCCAACAUAUUCUCAUAUGAAACACCCUUAUACACCGAAUACUCAUUUCUUCACACACACAUGCUUACUCACUCUUAUACAUUCAAACACUUCACAGAUGACACUUUUCCACCUAUCUCUCACACUCUUCCACAGUGAACACACAUAGUUUUCUAGUCUUGAGCCCAGGGUGGCCCCCAAAGUUUGAAUGGGUGUGUUCCUCCGUGAAGCCCACUGGGAACAUAGAACUGGUCCAAUGGGCCUUUUGAGAAAGUGGGGGAGAGAAUGUAAAUGGAUCCAGUGUAUUCUGAGAGCUGCAGGCACACACACAUGGAGCCAUAUUGAUGGACAAAGGGUGUGCAGAAACUUCCAAUAGAGAGGUCAAAAGAUGCAGCCCCAGACAGCUGCUCAACCUAUGCGGAAGGGUGUGAAGGCCAGGGCACAGUUUUGAAGGUAUGAGAAAUAUUUCCUUUCUGAUCCCUGAAAUAGAUAGUAUUCCCCUAGGGAAAGAGUUUAACCAUCACGCUCUCCUUUGCACAGCCAUCAGCUGAAACAGAGAUACCCCUGGAUGGUGUGUGUGACUGAUGGAGCUACCAAAAGAAAGCCUGCCAAGCAACAACCAUUCGGGAGGUCUCCAUGCUGAUGGCUAGCAGUGCUACCACUUCCUUAGCAUUCAUACUUCACAGACUUGACUGUGUUUAAGUGAAAUUGCUUGAUUUGAACCUGAAACCUGGAGGAGUACUGAGGGCCACCUGCUGGCCACAGGGCAGGGCAUCUACAGACCUGGGCUUUGAGUUCCUUUUGCACAACUAACUGCCUUGGAAGGAAAAGCAGCUAAACUUGCAAUUUUCCUGGCAGUUGAGAAGGGAACAGGGAUCCUUGGCUAGAACAGUAGCUGACUGGCCUACCCUCCCAGCUGAAAGCAAGAAGCAGUGUCCCUACCCAGGAGGCCUCCUGCUGCUCACAUGAAAGGCCAUUUUAAAUAACAGUCAUGUAUUAAAGCAAGGGGAAAGAAAGGAAAAAAACCUCAAGGGCUAUAGCACUGCCACAGUUUUAAAUUAUAGUGUAGGAGGAUAAAAAUAAAAGAGAGAGAGGAAGACAGAGCAAGGGAAAAAUUGCCAUUGUUUUAUGAAGCAGAUGGGAAAGUUCAGGGGAUCAGAAAAAGACUAUUAUUAUCUCAACUCUACAGUGACAAGCCAGCAGAAGGAUGCACCACCGUUUUCUCCCAUCUCUCCCUGAGAAUGGGACACUGGUGGAAUUUAUUUUGAAUGCAGCUUCAGGGCAGGAGCUCUGAGCACCCAGGGUAGAACGGAAGAUCCGGCUGCAUGUGGAUUUUAAGAGAACCUCCUCUGCAUUGCUCUGUUUCCUCCUGUGCUAAGUUGCUGUGGGCUAUGACCACUAGAAUGCCAUGUUGUGCCUUCUCUAGAGUCUGGGCAGACAGGGUAAGGAGCUUGGAGAUUUCCAAGGUUUAAGCACUAGAAGGAGCUGUUUUCCAGGGGUUAAUGUUUGGUAAUUCAAGGUUAAAGGAACACAGGUGGUAAUGCUUAAUGAGGUGGCCUGUGUCUGCUGAAUUUUCACAUCCAAUAAAUUGAAGAAUCAAAUAUUAGAGAGAGAGGGAGGGUCAGUAAGAUGGCUCAGCAGGUAGAGGUGCUUUCAGCCAAGCCUGAUGGCCAUCUGUUUGAUCCCUGGGACACAGAAUGGGAAGAGAAAACGGAAAAACAGCAUGGUAGAACAUAUAUGCCUGCACUUAUACACACAGUAAAUAAGCAAGUAUAAAGAAGUAAAAAAAAAAAAAAAGGAAAGGAAGGAAGGAAGAGGGAGGAAGGAAGGAAGAAAGAGGAAGGAAGGAAGGAAGGAAGGAAGGAAGGAAGGAAGGAAGGAAGGAAGGAAGGAAGGAAGGUAGGAAGGAGGAAGGAAGGCUGAGAAGAGGAGAGAUUCAGAAGGAAAGAGUGGGAAGAAUGUGCUAGAAAUGUGCAAAUGGCAGGAAUACUAACUCUGUAACUAAAAGGCAUUUACUUUUAAAUUUAGGACACCCCAGAGCUCCUUGGCGGCUUCUACCCCAUUUGUUUUCCCAUAUUGUUCCUUCUUCACCUCCGGAAUCUCUUAAUGGGAGCUCGCAAGCUGACGAUCAUUCCAUAAAUUAGGAUUCGUAUAUUCAUGCAAUAAACAUUUAUUCUAGAAGAGAGACACUCACUGAAGGCAAAAAAGCUUCCAUUUACCAUGUACUAAGCAUUCUGUUGCUCGUUUCUCUUCUCUGACUUCUUACCAACUCCUCUAAGGUAAGCAGCCCCAUUUGAGAGAUGAGCAACACGGCCAUGGUUAGUUCUAGGCUUCAACUGGAUUCUCAGAGCGGUAAGUGGCAGCGUGAGUACUGGAAUUCACAUUGUCUAGUUUGGCAACUGUGUACCAGACUGAUAUGUGUCCAUGUGAAGUUUUCAGAAAACUAAGGAGGAAGGAAGACACAUGCUUUCAAACCUGCAAAUAGAUUCCAGGAAAGCUUCUAAAAGAAAGAAAAAAAAAUUCCAUUGCAUGGGGGGUGGGAGGGUGAGGGCUUCGUGAGUGAGCUCUGGUUUGAGCAGUGGGGAAAGAUGCUGUGUUGGUUUGAAUGAGAUGCCCCCCUCCCCACAAGCCUUAGGUAUUUGAAUAGUUGGUCCACCAUCAGUGGCUGUUGGGGAAUGAUUAGGAGACAUGGCCUUGUUGGAGAAACUGUGACACCUGAGGCAAGAUUUGAGGUUUCAAAAAACCUCCCAUUCCCUGUGUAUUACUUUCCUGCCUCUGGCUUGCAGUUAGAGAUGUGCUCUCUGAACUGGUCCUGCCCCAUGUCUUUGCUCUGCCAUCUUGGCCUUUAAUCCACUGAAAUUGAAUGCUCAAUUAAAUGUUUUCUUUUAUGAGAUGCUGUGGUCAUAGUUUUGAUCACGGACAUAGAGAUGUAACAAAUACAGAUGAGUCCUAUCCCAGCAGAGGAAAGGGCUUAUGGGAGAGCAUGAGUGUGUGGAAUUUUCCUGGGGACAUUAAUGCAGGGAGGCAAAGACAGAGAAUAAAGUUUGGGCUACAUAGGGCAUCAUGGAAAAUGCAGGGGCUCCUGUGCAUCCUUUGAGCAAUGUAAGUUUUGUCCUCAAGAACCUGUUGGUACUUCAAGUGAGCAGAAAUGCAAAUGAUAUAAGAAAGACAAAGUGGACAGCAGAUAAUCUGCCCCUUUGGAGUAGAACUGCCUUGUUCAUGAUGAAUCAUGGUAAGUCAUGGAUCUUUGACUACCUUUUCAUCUAGAUCCAGCUCAUUUGAACCUUCUUUCACUCUAUUCCCUGUACUCAGCAGGUGCAUAUUUCAGACUUACAAAAGUCUUCUAGUAGUACCUCCCAAACAGUCAGGAAACGCAAAUAUGAACAGCAGUGUAUGGGGCACAAUACUCCAAUGGAGAAUAGGGGAAUUCCUUUCUGCUUCUAUCAAGGGUUCAGAGUUGUGACCUUGGAGCAGGCUUUUUAACCUAUUGCUGUACAUUGUCUCUUCAUCAAAAGGAGGGAAAUUAGCUUGGCUAUCCCACUGGGAUAUUGUGAACUCCCACUGCAAAGAGCCAAAGACCACAUAUAGCCUCAACUUUAUAUAUGGGCAUGCAUUCAAAUGCACACAUACAUACAUGUAUAUAUUCCUGGGUCUGGAAAUUUUUUGCCUGGGUUGGAAGUUCAUCUGGGACCAUCUAGCUGACUUGGCAUUUUGACUCUAAGAAAUCAAAGUUGGUGUCUGGGCUGCUGAGACUCCACUUGCUUUACUUCUUCUUCCUAUUUGCUUUAUUCCUCUCCAGCCUGGGGUAAAUUUCGUAUUAAAUCUUUCCAGGAUAGGGAAUGGGGGCACCUGGACCCAAGGUAGGAUUUAGGAGAAGAGGGUCCAGUGAGUACCAGAGUCCUCCCUCUGUUCUGCCUCUGUUGCUUCAGCUUUCCUAGGGAACACUGAGUGGGUCUUAGCUGUGAAACUGACAAAGAUUCACAAAUUCUAAGAAGAGACCAAGGGGGUGGUGAGCAGAGCUAGUGUCCUGCUGAGCAGAGACAGUGACUUGGUGCUGGCAGGUGAAUACCCAUGGGUGGCCAGCUAGAGCAAACAGCAUUUGUUCUUUGGACAGAGUCCCUAUGCCACUCUCGCCCUGCAGGAGGCCUGGAGGACAUCCUACAGAAGCUCGCUCAGCCAUAGCUGUUCACAGUCUGUCUGUGACCAACAGCCCUAUGCUCAACUCACAAUGCUAUUGAUGUGCCUAAAAAGGCACUGUGCAUAGAAUACUCUGCCUGCAUUCUCUAAUGCUGACAACUAUGUGCCCUCCUGGGCUGGCUCUCUCCUUUGCAGCUCCCUCCCUCUUCACAUAUAUUCAGGCACUCUGCUUCUCCAUCCUUGAGUAUCUGGUCGCCUUCCCCUUCUGUCCCAUAGUGCUCUGCUCUGGUAUUCCUGUCUGUUCCGCAGCCCUUGGAACAUACUUCCUCUCCUUGCACCUAGCUCCUAGAAGUGGCCAUGGACUACAGCUUCUCUGUAAACAUCCUCACCCAUGCUACAGAACAUGCCUGGCCUCUGCCAGGUCUGGGAGGGGCCAUGAGCUUCUUUACCUAAUCCAGCAGCCAUUGCUUCAGUGCACUUAAUAUUCACGACAGAUAGAACAUUUCAUGGCGAAUUGGAUGCACAUUCAACUGGAAAUGAAAAUUUUAUGACUGUUCUCACCCUGAGCCACAGAUUACACCAGCUGAGAAAACACGGGCACAAAUGUACAACCUGUGAACUGUAAAGUAUAUUAAUAAUGAAACCACAGCCUGAGAAAUGAAGCCUUUAUUCUGUUUAUAUUCUGCUCCAUUAAUAGAAGGCACUUCAGCUGGCUCCGCCCCAUUAGACAGCAAUCUGUGCAGUGAACAAGGCUGGCUAGGAGACCUGUGGCUAGGGCUACUGGGGGCAACCUCUCAGCCAAUGCCACUCUGACUGCAGAACUUCAAGUGGGCACCAGCCUUCUCCAAGUGGCAGCUAGGGAUAUGUGCACCCAGACUGUACAUAUGAUUUUCAUGCAUAUAUAGGUCCUCAUGCAUGUCAUCAAAGGACCAUGCUUCCUCACCAAAACACCAGAGUUAAAGACAGAAAGAGAAAGGAAAAAAAUCUCUUCUCCAUACAGAAACUAGAACUGAUCACCAAGGAGCUGAAACACAUAUUCAAGUAUUGGGAAAUUCUUAAAGUGAAGAUACCCAUCCCUAAAUCACCCGCUUUAUACACUUUAAUAUACAGAUUUCCAUACCUCAUCUUAGAAAUAAUUAAUCUACUUUAUUAUUUGACUACAUUCACGGUAUACGGUUCCAUCUUUGUCAAACUCCAGAUGCAAUACUAAGAGCAUCUCCCAGGUGAAACCAGCCCUGCUCUGCCUUCCAGCUUUCCAAACAGCCAUAAAAGCCUACAGGCAGAAGCAUAACAGCUAAAUUCUUCCAGACAGGGUUUAUACUGCCUGAGACCUGGGACUCGGCUAUGCAUACAUAUGCAGGGCCCUGGUAACCAUGUGACUCAGCUUCCCUUUGCCCCCAGGAGCUACUUUGGGGAUGCUUGCUGUGGGUGUACCCAGGAGCCCUGAGCUCAGCAAGGCAGAGGACCAAUCUCCCUCCCUGUCAGUGCAGGCCUGGCAUGAUUUACAGAUCUGCAGCGUAAUUAGUGACAACUGGAAAGAAGUCAAGAAUCUGUUCAGCCUAUCAUGGGAGCGCAUGAGAUGGGCUGGCAGAUGGCAGAAACAAAAAAGAACCAGGAGAUCCUUUGCUGAAGGAAGAUUUGCACCCUGGCUGUGUACCUGCCUCUGCUGUGGUCCUAAAAAGUCAAUGGGCACAGGGCAGGGCUGAGCGGUAUAUGUAUAGUUAAGCUGGUGACUAAUUUUCAUUUGGCUACUGGCAAGAGCAACCCCUAUUCCCCUGACCCGUCAGCUUCUUGGUUCCAUCAGUGUCCCAGGACUGGGCACAAAGUGGGGCAGAUGGUAGUUCUAGGUGGUGACCAACAACUGCCCUAAGGGGAUGAGCUGCUUUGAUGGAGUUGAGAAUUCAUAUCUCCUAGUGUCCCCACAGCCAUCAUACUAUCUUAAGGCAGCCCAUCACUUAUAUGUUGGUGAUGAUGCUCAUACAAAUGAACACUGCACUGCUGUCAUAUAAAAGUCAUCUGCAUGGCACAUAAUGUAUGGCACUUGAAAAUGACCAUAUAGCUUUGUAUCACUGGCCUAUGUAUCUACCAUAAUAUAAUUUUCCCAUUGUCUCGGAGUACUAUACCUAUAUAACAUUUUCUGCAAAUACUGUACCUCCAUACUGGCCACAGAUUCUGAGAGAUCCUGCUUACCACAUAAUUAUUUAUAUUCAGCGCAUGGGGAAUGAUUGGCCUAGACUAUCCAGUUUUCUGAUACCUCUAUGGCAUCCAAACACUUAUGAUGCAGUGAUGAUUAAGCAGCUUGCAGCUUUAUCUACUUCAUUUUCUAGUCCUGGAUACCAUGGUAGCCUAGGGCCAUGGGAUGCUCCACACCUCCACUCUUCUUGGAGAUUAGAAUCCCAUGCUUAAAGAAAGGUAGUGCAGAGUGAUGUGGCUGUUCAGGUCAGCCACACAGAAUAUAGAGAAGCACUCACUGGCACAUGAAAUAAUGUCGGCUAUCACAUACCUCUAACGAUGUCACCUACUCUACAUGUUAGAUAAAUGGUUCUGACUGACAAAUUCACCGUUUUGAAGCACAUGGCUUUUAGUCUUCAUUGUGUGUGAACACAAAUUCUCAGAUAAUCCAGGAUCUGGUGGCUUCUCAUCAAGCUCUAUGAGAAAUCUCUCCUUUUCCAGUAAGUUCUGUUCCUCCAUACAUGAAGAAAUGUGAACACAGGGAACAGAAGUGAUGUGUCCAUCCAAACUAGAAGCUGCUACAAGUAGACACCAAAUGAACUGCUUCACCUCCGGCUGCUUCUAAAAAUUUCAGUGCACAGGCUUUUUUUUUUCUUUCUGAAAACAGCCUCUAUGUCUGCAGUUCCAAUGCUGAAAAAACAUCCGUUGUAUGGUUGCUCCCCCAGCUACUGUACCUGCAACUCAUGUGCAAAAUGUCCCCAUUUAUGCAAAGCACAUCAUGGAAGCUAAUAGGAGCUGGAGCCUCAUUCCCUGUAGCUGAAACAACCUGAUGUUGACAGAAUGGGGACGCAUUUUCGAGCUCAAAAUUCUAUAAUAAUACCUCAAGGGAGUCAUUGGCAAAGUUUGGCCAAAGUAUAAUUAGUUUGCGCAGCUAUUAGAGGCUGAUAAAAGGUUUUAAUUUGUGGAGGGACCCCAAGCAUCUCACAGACUUCGUAGCCUCUCUUGCUUUCCUUUAAAACCGAGUGGCUACUCAGACUGAAGGCUACAGUCAACGAGGCACAGGGUGAGCCAGGCUGCUGGCAUCUGAGGAAAAAGAAAGGGGAAGGGGACUCCUUGCCUCUCCCCAUAACAAGGAUAGAGGACAGAGAGGCAAGUGAGACACAAAAUGACAUCCUGUUCACUGCUGUUACUGUCUUUCUCCACUUGCACUUGGCUCUUCUUUGUGCUAAGCAGAGCCCUUUGGAGAAUUUACUGGGGACAAUCCUUUAUUUCUAGAGAAGGCAGAAGGAGACCCCAGUUAUUUUUUUCCUAUGUACUUUAAUGGUUAAGAUGUAGUUUCCUUCAGGAGCGCUUCCAGGAGGAUAAUAAUGCAAGAAGGGAGGGGGCUCCACUUGCAGAGGACAGGAAGGAGACAAAUGGUUGAUUUGGGGCUAAGGACAGAGACACCUGCUGAUGGGCCUGAAUUCUGCUGUUUAGCUGUGAGACAAACAAACAUGAUAAAAGUAACCAAGGAGAUGGUAUCAAACUACCACAAUCUAUUGUGCAGCUCCACGGUGCAUCUGUGCGAAGGCUUAGAUUGCAUCUGAUAGCAUAAUACAGAUUUUACCCACUGCAAUUUGCCUCUAAGGAGACACACACACAUACACACACACACACACACGAGAGAGAGAGAGAGAGAGAGAGAGAGAGAGAGAGAGAGAGAGAGAGAGAGAGAGAAUGCACAUCAUAACAAAGGCUAGUUUACAUUUUUUUCUUCCAAAGGCUGCUUUAUAUCAGUGGAUUUUACUGUGUAUGGGCAAUUGGGUUUGAUGAAUGUGUUAGAAAUCAGGGAGCAAGGUGGGGUUAGUAGCAGUGCAUCUAAGCACAGUGAUGUAUAUAUGGCUUAUGCAAAACAUAUGCAAAGUAACUGUGCAUCUUCAUGAUGCCUCUUAGGGAAGGCCUCAAUGGCUGCCAUCAAUAUGGAAGAUAUUAAGAGUAGAGAAUGGAUUUAUCAGCUUCUUUCUACAGAGAUACAUGUGCAAUUCUUUGCAAGAGUGAGGAUGCCUGGAGACAGCCAAUUGCCAAAAAAAGAAGAGGCAUUUGUGUUCCUACCUUUGUGUGGUUUUCAUUGUUUGUCCCUGCUGAAUGAUGAAACUAUCCCAUUAGUUAAUUUGGUUUAUGAAACUUGAUAUCACAGAAUUGUAUUGGUAGGAGAGAAGGGGACUAGGUAUUAAUAGAUUUAAUCAUGUUGCUCUUCAUCCAACACAUGCUACUAUUCCAUAAAAAUGGUCUAAUGCACCAGAACAAUAGUCGUGCGGUUGAUUCCCAGCUAGAUGAUACAUCACCAUUUCAAAAUUAGAUCCAGUUUAUAUCACCAGCUUUUCGCUUGACUCUACUCUCCCAUUUGUUGAUAAAUUAAUGAAAAUCAUUAAAAUUAACCUUUAUGACCGGAGGAAAAAGAAAGCUAUGAUAUACAAAAUGAUAUAUGUGCCCUUUUAUUAAAUUACAAAAUCCACAAGUUUAGGGACCAUGUGCCAUUCACACUCAUCUAUCCACUUCUCUAGCUUCACUUGAACUAGAUACAUGUUUGAGUACCAAAAGAGAAACAUAUGACAUAUAAGUUUAAAUAUGAAAAUAAUUUUAAAUAUACAUAUAUUAUUUCUUGUUUGUAAUUUCUAUAAGAAUAAUCUUUGUUCUCUCUCUCUCUCCCUCUCCCUCUCUCCCUCUCUCCCUCAUUCCCUCACUAUCUCUUUCUCUAUUGAUUUUGGUUUUGAUGUGCAUGAACUAUUUGCCUGAAUUUAUGUCUGGGCCGCUUGUGUAUUCUGUGCACCACGUCCAGAAGAGGGCAUUGGAUUCCCUGAAAUUGUGGUUAUAGAGAGUUGUCGGCUGUUCUGUGUGCACUAGGAACUAAAUCUAGGUCCUCUGCAAGAGCAACAGAUGCUAUUAACUGCUUAAUUAUCUCUGCAGCUUCACAAGGCAAACAUCUUUAGACACUGAUAGAAGCGUAUUUAGUUCUCUGAUCCCUGGACUCCUACUUCUGGUUUACCUCUUUGUUGUCUUAUGUGUUUUCUACUCAUAGCUCUCACUGUUUUGAAUGCUUUCUUCACUACUUAAUUUCCCCUCAGUAUUGUUUGAGUUACUUUGAACAGAUUUUCUUCAGUGUGAUCCCUUCCUUCAGGUUGCUUGAGCAUUUGUAGGGACAAGCUUUCUUCAAAAGAAUGACAUUUUUCUCUUCUCUAGGAAGUUAGACAUAGUGUGUUUCCUCUAUGCUAAGAACAAAACUCUACUUUCUGAAAUGAAUAAAGCCAUUAUUGAGUUGAAAUAGUCAGAUUGGUAUUACUUAGUUUUGACAUCAGGAACUCAAAGAGUUGGGCUUGCAAUUGUAUUGGAGAUCUCCCAAGAAGAUUUUUAUAAUCACCGUUUCAAAUUAAAUCCAGUUUAUAUCACCAGAUUUUUUCUUGACUCUACUCUCCCAUUUGUUGAUAAAUUAAUGAAAAUCAUUAAAAUUAACCUUUAUGACCGGAGGAAAAAGAGAGCUAUGUUAUACCAAAUGAUAUAUGUGCUCUUUAAUUAAAUUACAAAAUCCACAAGUUUAGGGAUCAUGUGCCAUUCACACUCAUCUAUCCACUUCUCUAGCUUCACUUGAACUUAGUAGAUGUUAAAGAAAUGUUUGUGGGUGGAUGAAAAAAUUAACUAGGGUUUCAAUCCAUACACGUAUAUGAUAUACAUAAUAUAUUACAUAUAUAGAAGAGUUUGGUAGAUACUAUGAACUAAGGUGGUGCUGUCCUGUUUAAAAUCAUGAUUAUAUUUUAAAAGGAAAAUCAUCAUUAUGACUCCAGCUCUAUAAUGAAUAAAACAUAAACAAUAUAUUCCAUACGUAUGCUCUAAGACUGGUUUCAUACAAUGGAAAGCUUUGUUAAGGACAAUGUGCAGUGAAAGUCACUUGCACUGGGUUCCAGUUCUUGCUGUCCCUAGAAUCCUCUACUAAGUCAUAAAGACUCUCGUCCCACCAAUCUAUCUUCUCUCUAAAGCAGAGUGGUGGUGAUUACAAGAAUCAGUGAUAGAGGAAACUGAGAUAGCUUCUUGCUACUCAUCUGCUAAGGAGGAAGCCUGAAGGUUUCCAGUUGUGUUCAUUUCUAUCCUAUUGCUUGAAAUCCUCUUGAAUUUCAGAUUAUUUGGGCUAUCUAGAGAGAAAUUGGCAAAAAUAUGGGGCUUGAAAAACUUAUGUGUAGUAGAAACUAGAAUACUCUUAUGGAAGGUUAGAUUGCAUUCCGAAUAUCGAAUAUCCAAAGUUGUAGUCAAGCCCUUCUCAAUCUUUCUUGAUUCAUAAUAGAAACACAGUUUCUUUGGGUGCUUCUCAUGGAUGAAAAUCGAAAGCACAAGUCAUGGCCUAGCUAUGCACUCUCAUGUAUCGAAGACAGACUGUUUAGGAACAUUUCCUAUGUCAUUCAUUCUAGCAUCUGCAUGGGAAGCAGCCCUCAUGGAUGGAACAAAUACACCCUGUUCCUCUUGGUUAGAAGGGAGCACCAUGGUGUUAUUUUGAUACCAGUUCUUCUCUGAGCAUGCUCUUGAAAAGCCAAUACAGGCAACUUAUUAAAAAGGCAAAACUCCCAAAGGUAAUCCAAAAAGGGGGAGUGGGUGGGUAGGGGAGUGGGGGGGGUAUGGGGGACUUUUGGUAUAGCAUUGGAAAUGUAAAUGAGCUAAAUACCUAAUAAAAAAUGGGAAAAAAAGGCAAAACUCUAUUAAAAUAGGAAGUUCCCUGCCUGCUCAGAGAGUGAGACAAAUAUGGUCUGUGAAGUACAGUGAUAGUCUCUCCCAGGAGAUGGCCAGAAACUCAGACAUCCUAUCCAAGACAUGCUUAAUUUGCAGGCACAUCUUCAGUACAUCCAGGUGAACAAGAGCUGGGUAAUUUGCAUGCACAUUAAAUCUUGAAAAGCAUGGUGGACAUGCUAAGGGAUGCUUUCUGUGCAGAAAGCCCUUUCAUCUUUCAUUUGGUCUCCAGCCACACUUUCCUAAAGCCUUAAGCUCAGAUCUGAUAUUCACACUCCAGUGUGCUCUGCAAAUGGGGAUUGUUUUGCCUUUCUGGAUACUCUCUUAUCUUUUAUUUUCCCAAAGGUAAUCUCAUUGCUUACCUGCCCCUUGCCUUUCCUUACCUGUGUGGUAGGAAGAGGACAGGCAGAAAAGCUGAGAGUGUUCCUCAGUCUGCAGAAGGGAGGCACAUGAGUUACAGCUGAACCUUCACAUAAGUAACCUUUGCAUCUUCCUCGGAGUUUUGGUACCAAAGAAAUAGAAGAAAAUCACUCUCCAUUCCUGCUUCCUGUAAACUACCCACUUCUUUAUCUCUUGCAGAUAGCCAUUGGCAUGAACUCUCUCUUCUUCACCUUUCCUUUACCCAUCCCCAGCCUUCAGGUUCUUCCCCAAGACACCUUUUAUCUCAUUCAAAGGUUCAGCUGUAACUCAUUUUGUGAAUGAAAAAGAUUGGGAGGUUUACAGGUUAGGAGUGAGAGAGUGGAGUCUGCUGCAGCCAAAUUAAUGCUGGCCGCCAUGUCGUUUCCCUCAUUAAACAAUGCCCACCAAGAUCCUGUCUGCUGUAAAACAAUUGGUCUCUGAAGCCCAGUAUUCAUCUUCCAGGGUUGCUGGGAGAUAAUAAAUGGGUAAUAUUCCAGUGAUAAUGGUAAUGGAGUCACGGCUCAGAGCUAAUAUUAUGGCAAAGUAGUAAUUAUUUCAACAGUAAACAAGGGGAUGGUUGAGUUGCCGACAGAAUUCCAGCCUGUUGAAAUGGUUCAGUUAAUUUGCUUGGAGCCAAGGCCUGGGACUGGCUGCAAGAGCUGGAUAAAGUUUGCAUCCCUGGCCCUAGUGCUCCAAAUCUCCCAGUGGCCUCUGAUUUCCUCUGGCUACGAAGCAGCAGAAAUCCCAAGCAUGUGCAGGUCUAACUUCUGAUUGAUGAGAAAUGACAGGGAUGGUGGCUUCAGGCAUCUGCCUGAAGAUUCUGUCUGUCUUCUUCCCUGAGGAGCCUCAGCCUGGGACACUGAGACGAAGUGGGCCUUUGUGAAGAAGUAAGAAUGUUAACACAUGGGCUAGAACACUGAAGUGUUUUGUCAAGAUGACCUUCUCCAAAGAAUUGCCACCAUUUUUACAUAAUCUGUGGACCACAGCAGACACAGCAAUGAGCUAGCUCUUGGGGAACGGCUUCAGUGAUUUGUGAUUAUGAAGGUUGUCUGAACUCUGAUAAAAAUGUGGAGCUCAGCAAAAGUGCCUGAGAUUUAGAAGGAAAAUAUUGCUAAGAAUUGAUCAAACUCUGGAGGUUACAAAGAAUCCCUUGUGAUCAUGACCUUUCAAGAUCUUGUCAUUGGCCAGAAGAAGGUGAACUCCAUAGCAAAAAGCAAGAUGUUAUCUACAAGGACAUUUUGCCAUUUCUUCAUACGAUGUGCCUAUUCCCAGUCAUUUGUUGCAAGUAGGGAGCCAAGUGUCCACAGCAGACAUUCUAUGAUUUUGUACAUGAAUUGGCCAUUGUCUGGUCUCAGGCAAGUAGGUUUCACCAGGUUUUUAUAUGCAACAGCUGGGUAUGGGUGUUUGGCUCUAACCCUUCAUCAUUCUCCUAGAAUCUCAGAUAGUCUCUGGGUAUGGUAAUCUUAGUGUCAUUGAGUUCCACAUGCUGGCCAAAGUGAGUGUCCAGCAAAAAAGAAAAGAAGCUGUUGGAAUUUUAUAAGCUGCCUUGGAGGUCACCUCCUUUCACCAUCUUCCUACUCUGUUCAUCACUAAGGCCAGCUCAUAGUUCACAGAAGGGGAAUGAGACUGCAGGCAAUGGAGGGGUUCUCAGAAAGUUCUUGCACUUUUUAUAUUUCAUUAACAGCAGAACAACUCAAAAACCCACAGUGGCUUCUUUUUCCUUUCAUAACAGCAUCAUGGGCCCUUCUUCAGUUUUGACUGAGAAUGUUUUUAUUACUCUGUCCAUAUCUGACUUUAUUCUGGAAUAUAUAAAUCUCCACCCCCAUUAUUUUACCACCAUUACACUAGUAAUAAACAUCACUGCUAUUAAUUAAAUGUUUCUUUAUGCUUGUAAUUGACAAAGAAUAAUUAUGCAGUCCAACUUUUAAAAAUAUAUACAGCUCCCAGUUGACAAAUGAAUAAACAUGGAGACAAAUGCUAAAUUCUAAGCCCUGAACACAGGACGGUUUGACACCACAGAUCUUUCUAAAGUCAUGCCUUCCUUCCAAAUAAAUUUAGUUUCUAUAGACACCAUAAGGAAGAAUGAAAAAUAGCUACAAAUUAUUAUUAUGAGACGUUGGCUUCAGUGUUUCUAUCUGUAGAAUGGAGAUUAUAAUGAUACUUACCUCAUUAUCAAGAUUAAAUGUGUUCAUAGCUGUAGAACCCUUUGCAGAGUUGGCAGAGGAUAAAUCCUCAAGAAAAGUUAGUUAAUGGUGCUUUUUAAUAACUCCAAUGAGCAUAAAAUCUCUUUCCAAGCAUAGAUUUUAUUUUUGUAAACAGCCAUUUGGAUUAAAGUCUCAUGAAUUAGUUGAGUGUGAUAAAAUUAUAGCAUAUACAUGUCAAAAACUUUGAAGGCUGGGUUUGUAAAGCAGCUCCAAGGCAUUUCCAGGAGAUGCACUUCCUGAAGGUUCUCAGUAAUGGGAGCAUCAAUGCCCCUCCCCUCCCUCCCACCUCCCCCCCCCCCCUGGCGGUGGCAAAGUACUUCUGAUACUUGUCAAAAACACCAUCUUGCUUAGAUAGACUAGAUAUGCAAGGGGGAAUAUUCAUUAACUGAGAAAUUUCUUAGGGGAUUCACUUUUUAAAGACCCUAAUGCCAGGAUAACAAUCAAACCUGUAUAGAAUUUUGUGAAACUCUCAUGGAAGACUGCCCGACUUUAGGCUGUCAGGUGGCAAUUCUUCUAGGAUGCGUGGUCGCUGAGUCCCAUGGUGGCUCAGCAUAUAUUAAUUUAGCUAACUGAUAGAAAGCCCAAAUGAUUCUUUUAGGAUAUACAUGUUUUUGUGUGGUGCAUAAAAGAAGGGAGAAAUGAAAGGCAAAUCUAUCUUGAUAGUUCCUGUCCUAGCUCAGGGUUAUCAGAUCACUAGAUUCUUGGUGCUUGUUAAUUCUAAAAUGUUACCCUUUUCCUUUCUGACCUAGCAGAAAGUAAAGACUGGAAGCUAGAGACACAGGGGGAACACCCUCUCCCUCUCCCCCUCCCUCUCCCCCUUCCCUCCCCUCCCCAUCCCCCUCCUCUUUCCCUCUCUCUUUCCCCUUCCUCCCCCUGCCCCCCCUCUCUCAAACACACACACACACACACACACACACACACACACACACACACAUACAUGCACAUACACAAGCAUACACACACACAAAUCACACAAAAUAUGCCUGCACACACACAAAACACACAAAACACACAUGUUCAUACUCAUGCACACACACAAGCACACAUAAAGCACACACAUCCACACACCCUUACAGCUCAAUUCACGUGUUAUAUCACACUGUGCUUGUUGAUGCAUCUUAGCAAGUAUUCAGCAUUUUGUAUCUCUUCAAAGCCUGAGAGACUACUACAGUGGUGGCUUAAGGAGGUGGCACCGAAAAGGCCAUUUCUUCAUUAAAAGGAACAAUGCAAGCUGACUUUCAGAUUUCAGAUCCUGUGUUUUUUACCCCCAAAUUGUCAUACUCAUAACAGCUCAGUGUGCAGUAUGACUAUGACUGCUCGUAAGAAACCUUAGCAAAAUAAGGAUUCUGUGAGUCACAGAGAAAGGCAGCAUGGAAAGAACAAAUGCCAGCCUCCCUAAAAGCUAGAAGUAGCCUAAGGUAUCACACACUUUCUGGCUGUUCACCAAAAGCUUAUGCUUUCUGAAUCCAGUGGCUAGUUUCUUCCAGUCACAUUUCUCUUGAAUUUAAAAUUGAAAUCUAUUUCUAAAGGUUUUGCUUGUAACUAUAUACUUGUAAACAUAUAUUUGAAAAGUAGAAAGCUAUAAAGAAACUUAUAAUUAGCAUCCACACCUCUAACUGUUAGCAACAGUCACUAAUUUUUUUUUCCUGUAGAGCUCAAAGCUCACUUUUCAAAGUGAAUGAUAAAACUACAAAGUUGAUCUCAAUAGAAAUCUCCAUGACAGACUUAUUCAUCUCUCAUGCUGGUGAAACUGUCAUUAGCCUCACGUGUAAGUACUUUUUUGAAAGUAUGAAAUUGUAAUGAUGGGAUUCUGGAGGACUAUUCAUCUGGGUGAUCACUGAGAAUUUUUACAAAAGGUACUAAAUUAGGAAGAGCUCAUUCGAUCGCGAUCUUCCAGUAAACUUGAGACUUGCCCUGUCUGCUGGACAAGUAACUUUACUGUUAUAGCUAUAUUUCAGGCAGAACAAGGGAGGAAGGUGGAAAAGUAAGGCAGGUGCUAGGUGUGGACCCAGAAGACACAGGAAGUCUGUAGUAGCCCAUUCUGGUUCGGCUGUGCUAAUUAUUGCAAAGUGCACUUUCUGAGAAGAUGGCACCCACUUGGAAGGCUCUUCUGGAGAGCAGGCUCAGCCAGGCUACCACAGAAAACUGCAGAAGAACAAACUAAAUAGUAGCAACCUGCUAGUCAUGGCAGUGCAGAGAUGUGCACUGUAGGGAGUGGGAAGCAUUUGCAUCACAGGGAAGAGUCUCUAAUGAAGAGAGAACGACUUUCAUGCAAGAGGAGGUCAGGUACUGCAAGGAUGGUGCUUUAAAAGUUGGUUUUCUAGGCUUUCUUUCCUCUCCCUUUAUGCCAUUCACUGUCCAUAAUUCACCACUGAUGCCAAAAAACCACAGGCCCUUAGUAGAAGCAGCUGCUUGAUCUCAGACUUCCUCGCUUCUAGGACCAGGAGGCAGGUACACUUCCCCAGACCCAAGCGAUCCUCCACAGCAAGAGAAAACACUAAAACAACACCCAAGUAAAUGCUCUCAUGGGUACACGGAGACUCAACACAAAAGCAGUGAGGAAGGAUCUGGCCACAAAAUAAAGACCUGGGGAAAAAGAAAGUGACCACUCAAACCAAAGUGGGAAGAAUACUGAAUCACUUGACAGAGUUGUCCUCAUCAGAGAUAAGGUGCUGCAUGCCUUGUUAGAACAGAGAUCAAUAUGGAAAAACAGCUGGGCACAGGAAACCAUCUGUGGGUGGGUAGUAGUAGCCUUAGGCUCCCUUCAGUGCCAUGUGCCACUUGUGGAAGGACAGAAACCCCAAAGGUUUGGAAUGUCUGUGAGAACCACAAGGCCUUCACAGAAUGGGAGAAGAAACAGAUAGGGAGAGAAUCUGAAUAAAAAGGGAUUUUAAUGACCCCCACCAAGAUAAUCACCAGCAGAACUUCUAGAAACCAGGUUCCACAUACUGCGAAAGAUCACAGGAUAGAGAUGUUAGGUUUGUGAGUCACUUGAUCUCAGUACUGCUAGAAGGCUGAUAUUAUAAGACAAAAGCAUUCAUAAAUAAGUGGGUGUGAUUGGCUGUGUUCCAGAACUACUAACUUAAUGAUAAUAACCUUCUAAUUUCAAACUAUGCCUUAAUUAUUUUCAGCUAUUUAAAAAAUGCAAAAUCCACUAUGCUCUGUGAUGUCCAAAAAAUUAAAUCAGAUUUUGUCUAACUGAAUGUGUCUCUCCAUCCUUAGCAUCAUGAAAUGAGACAAGGGGACAGCACUUUGAAUCAUUUGGCACUGAAUCUUUCAGAGGCCAGAGCUGACAGGAUUGGGAACCACAGCAACAUCAGAGUCUGUUUUGUCCUGUGAUUUCCCUCUUGAUUUCUGCCUUGCACUAUUGUGUCUUAUUCUUCUGCUCCUUUUAAAUGAGUUUCAGAUUCAACUCGCCUCCCUCCCUGGGACCACAUCCUCUGCAGCGGUUUGUAAGAUGCUUAGGUGAACUUUCAAAUUAAUUGCACUGUGUAAAUAAAUGUAAGACUUAACAAAAGAUAAUGAGAACAAAUGAUAAUUGCUGUUGUUAUAACAACGGGCAUAAACACUGGUUCCAUUAUUUGCUUUUUGAGUUUGUGUUGCAAAAAUGCAAAAGCAUCUUUGUCUUGGAUGGCUGCUUGGUAGCAAGAUCACACCUCUACUCUCAGCCUCCCUGACUUUCUUGGCAUUGCCCCAGAGCACAUGCAUGAUUCAUGUAGAACUUUUAAUAAAGGACAAUGGUGCCUACUGUCUUCGUGUUUACAAAGCACCUGCAAUGUUCUCUUACUCUCCUGCCUAUUCUCAUCCUAUUUUACAGAUGAACUAACAGAGGUUCCGAGAGGUUAAUUGGUUUGCUAAGGGUCAUCCACUGAGUAAUUGACAGAUUAGAGUCCAGCCAAGUGUUCUGACCAAAGGGAUCUUUGCUCCCUAGGAUCCCUUGCCCCAGUUAGAAUGUGAGAGAUUAAAUGUUAAGUUAAAAGUUCAACUGGGGGUAUUACAUUGAAGGUUUUCCUCUCCAGGUGUGGACCACAGGUAACCAAGCUUUGUGAGUGAUGGGGGUGGGGGUGGCGGAGUGCUUCCUGUUCUGCCAGCGGGCCUCAUCUCAGUCAUGUAACUGAGUCCUAGACAACUAGUGAUGCCAGUUUUCCAGCACACAUUUUUGCUUUCCUGACUCCUAUCUUUUCUUUCCCAUAAUGUCUCCCAACAUGGCGUACCUCAUCAGAUGGUAAAAUGACUUACACUCACUCAGGAAACUUGGCAAGCACCGCCCGUCUUUUAUUUGCACAGUGGGAAGUUUAUAGUCAGUAUGAAUUGUAACAGCUCUGCAGGGCAGACUUCUCAACACUUCCCAGCUGCAGAGCUCUCUGAGGCGAGACAUGGCUCGAGAGACACAACGCAGCAGGGACUUUCUGAUUCCCCUUUGCAACUAACUUGGAUCUUGAAAGCCGCACUGCUGUGAACCUCCUGGCUCUCUUCCUGCCUUUCUCCCUAGCAGCCAGGACUUCCAAGGAGUGUGGCAGCAAGGCUGGGCCUUCUCCCACUGGGAGCCCUAUGGCCCCAUCUAUUAGCUAGGUAGAGAAGAAACUAGUGCAAGGAAGUAUUCUCAGAGCUGGCGGGAAAGUAUCAGAUGAGUACGGAAGCAAGAUUUCAGUACCAAGGCCUGUGGACAGCACCUGCCCUGCCUCCUCGUGUUUGUUUUAGUAGGACAGAAGUACCUGGUCAGUCCUUAUAACUCAAUAAGGUGGUAGUCUAGAUUAUAGAUAAAUGCACACAAUGUAGUGUAGGACGUUAUUUAUCUAGAAAUGAGCACACCUUAUCUUAAUUAAGUACUUUUGGGGAAGAAACAUGAUUGUGUUUUAAUUCAUGAAAAUGUGAUUGAAGCAUUGCUUUUAGAUAAAUCUCAGUUACUUUCUUCAACCUUCAUUAAACCUCCGUUUCUAUGUAAGUUAGAAGGAUGUUAACAGACAAUCAGGCAUUUAUUACCUUUAUUUAAUGCACUUUCAGUACACGCUGGAUAUUCCUGAAGAGUUAUGGGUCUUAUCGUAGGUAAAGCAGGGAUUCAGAGGAUGGUUCACAUGUAGUGGUAAACCUUGUACCAAGAACUCUACUAACAAUAUUAGCCAAAUUUUGCACUAAAUAAAAUGGAAGCAUAUUUGAGAUGAACACUCAUAUCUUAGCUUGUCUUAAAAGUCAUUUUAUUCAUUAAUGGGGACAGUGUGCUCAUAUUUACAAUUAAGAAUAGAUAUUUUCAAGGAUAGGCAAUUAUAUAUUCUAUUAUUAUUGUUGUAAUAAUUACACAUUCUUCUAUUUUCUCUAUGCUUCAUCAUUGCUAACCCUAUUCUACUAAUAUUUACCAAGAAUUUACUUUGUACCAGACACAGGGUACAUAUUACAUGUGUUACCUCAUGAAAUGCUUACAGCAGUUCCUUUAUGUGCCUCUGCCUUGGGUCUCACUCUUCAUAAGAUAAGACUAAGGCCGAUGGAGAGUGACAAAGGGCCCACAGUGACAUUGCUUAGGAAGUGGUGCAAUCACAAUUCAUUUCUUGAAGCUCACCGAUUAUGAAGCUCUAUAUUAAUGAAAGAAAUCUACCUAUGUCUAUAGACAGAUUCAAGGGCUACCUAUAAAUAUAGGUUGACAAAGCUACCUGUGUCUAUAGACAGAUUUAAGGACUACAGUUCUAUUCCCAGCUUGGGUUCUUCCUAGCUUACUAACUUUGGCAAAUUGGUUAACAUUUCCAUGCCUCAUUUUUCUUGCUUUUAUUUUUCUAUCAUGCAGUGUCUCUAUAGAUUAGAUAUUCUGAUACAAGUAGAGUGCUGGUAUUGAAGAAGAACAGGAAAAGGUCCUUGUUAGUACCAGCUUUUAACAUUGCCAUUGACAUCACUGUCUUCUUCCACUCAACAUACUCCCAUCAUCCUUGAGUUCAAAUAGAAGGCUGAACUGUUGGUGCCAAGCAUCCUUGAUACUUCACUACAUCUUAACAAGAUACCUUCUAAGGAAUUCAUUCAUGUUUUUCCUUUCCUUGCAAUGAGCUCAGACACAGGUUCUUAAGCAACCUGUGCUGCCACUCCUCUGUAGAUCACUGCCUUGCUCAAAGUAGCACAGCAUGGGAAAACAACCGGGUUGGAAGACAGACAGAAGAAAGCCUCUCCUGCUUUAAGGCAGUGGGCAAAGGCUGAAACUUGAAUGGUGGGGGUUAGGAAUUAAAUAAGGGGAACCAAAAAGGACAAAUGGCUGUUGGAAUAGCAUGCUGAUACCUCCCAUUUAUUCUUUCUCUUUUUGAUAGGAGUGACUGGUGGCUGACUUGAAUCAGAGCAUCUUGAGUCACACUCAAGAGACAUUCAUGAUAUCAGAUCUUUAGGGGUUCCUUCAUGGAAAGUCCAGAGACUCAGACUUGCAAGACUCUGAGGCCUCUAUAGACCUUCAUGAGGCUCUUACUCUACCUAGGACUCCAAUAAGAGGUAAGCAAUUAUUUAGGAUUAGAACUUUUUUGAAGAUAGUAGCUAUAUACUUGAUAGACACAGAGGAACUUUCCCAGUGCUGUGUGUGAGUGGCCUGUGAUCCUGUAAAUAAUCCCAAUAAACUCAUUGAUUCAAAAAACUGGACUUGGGUGAAAUAUUUUCUUCAAUUUAACAGUGUCCUGCUUAUCUAGGAUGCAUAGACCUUUUCAUCUCCAGAAAAUCUAACAAAAUAUCCAUGUCAUUCCAUAGAGUCAUAUUUGGGGCCAUAUAGUGUGAUGUGAUAUGCAGUAAGGCAUACACGUUACUUUGUUCUGAAUCCGUGUAUAAUCACAGACUCAGGUUUAGUAUAACAUAUUUUGAAAGGCAGGCUUCUUUAUAAAGCUACCAUCUUCCCAUGUAUGGACUCCACUAUAACAUAAGUGAAGCUCUAUUAUAGCCAUACUAACUUCAUAUAGGUUGUUAGAGGAUCAAAUGAAAAUAUUUUAAAACGUAAAAGUUGAGUAUGGUAUGUCAUAUCACACACACACAAACACACACACAACUCAAAAACCGUCAUAGGAAGGAGGAAGGGGAGGGGGUAGAGAAGUUGUUAAAACAGAGGUCAGAAUCACUGGGGUAAAACAGCCUCUUUAUAGAACAGGAUGGCUGUACUCAAAAACUCCCAGCAGCUGGGAUUCUACCUGUACAAGGUGAAGCUGGUCAAUGCUCCAGUGUCAAUGGAGGCUCAUACAAACACCACCCUUAACUGGGGAGCUAUUGACAGUUAAUGGCUUCUAGCAACAGGAAAUUCAGUUUUCCUUAGGUAUAUGGUCCCUGGUAGAGUGACCAUGUUCAAGCAGCUGCCCCAAUAUCCACGUUGAAUUAGAUUGAAUGAGAUUCGGCAGAUUAAUUUAAAAAGGAGGACAUAAUAUUGGAACAGGACCUGGGAAGAGUUGGAGAAGAGGAGUAGGAGAAGAAUCUGAUCAAAAGCACAUGAAAUUCUCAAAGAAUACACUUAAAAUAUUGCUUUUUCUUAAAAAGUGAUAUAAAAUCCAUAUAUAAAGAAUAUGGAUUUUAGAUACAAUAGUAAUCUAAGAACAGCUGGCUCAACAGCUGGGUUAGCCUACUUUGAUGUCUGCUGUCGAUGAUUAGGAAAGACCAAGAGGGGAUUCAGCUCAAGCCUGAGAACCAUGCUGUUUGCUUGAGCCUUAGACUUAUCACAUUGCACAGUGGCAUGAAUUGUCCAGCAAGUUAUGUAUGUGAGUUUUCAUAUCACAGUUACUUCAUCUAAAAGUAAGUAAACACAUUGACCUCAUGAGAUUAUCAGGACAGUU